AGAAAAGAGCCCCCACUCCUUCUCUCUCCUCCCUCUCUUCUUCCUCUCUCCCGUUGGCUUCUCCUCCAUCUUCAUUGUGCGAAGACCAGAAAAUUGCAGAGAAGAAGGAGCUGCAGCCAUAGUCGUCCACUCCCGCUCGCACGCCGCCGUCGCCGCCGUCGCCGUGUGUCCGCCUCGCGCCGCCCGUGCGCCGCUCGCCGGUCCGCUCGCGUCCGCGCUCCGCCCGCGCUUGGCCGGCAUCCCGAGCUGCUGUUCAGCUCGUGCAAGAGCUACCGGAGCUCGUCCCCGCCGCCGUGAACCGCCGUCGACCUCCGCCCUAGCCCGCCGGAGCUUCGCCUUGCCUCCGCCGCCCUUGGCCGCCCGAACCGACGCAGGAUCCGCCCCAUCUUGGCCCCGAUCAGCAACCCAGAAAAUGGGUAUGGCAGCCCCUUCGUGGCCCGUUUUGGCCGCCUUCCCGAGCCCGGAUGCUCGGCCCGCUUUGAGGAAAGUUGUUCUCCUCGGCGUCCUCGUCGUUUUGGUCCGCUCGGCUCGCUAAUCCGGUGAGUUUAACUCACUAAACCUCGCUUAGAGGGUUAAUGAUGCUUUAGGUGUGUUUAGUUAAUGUUAAGUGUUAUUAGGUGGUUAGUUUAAUUUAUUUAAGUGUAGAUUAUAUUAAUGUGCUUAAUUAACUUAAAUUGUGUUUAAUUUAAAGUUAAGUGGGUGUUUAUAUUAAUAUAAACAUUGAUGUGACAUAAAGGAAUUUACUUUUGAUUUAUUUAAAUAUUUCGAAAUUAUUUAAUAAUUUAAUAAUAUAUUAUUAUUCGAAAUUAUUAAAAUAUUAUUAUUUAAUUAUUUUCGGAAUAAAUUUAAUUAUUUAUUAAAUUCCGAAAAUUUUGUCGAGACCCUAAAUUCUCAGAAUUUCGUGCCGGUCGCUACUGUAUAGUCGGAUUUUGAAAUUGAUAAUUGGAUAUUAUGAAUUGAGUGUGGAUCGUGAAAGAUAUGCAUAUUAUUAUUUAAUUAAUUUUCGGAAUAAAUUUAAUUAUUUAAUAAUUCGAAAAAUUAUUUUGGGACCCUAAAUUCUCAGAAUUUCGUGCUGAUCGCUGCUGUGCAUUUAGAAUUUGAAUUUGAUGAAUUGAUGUGGCAAAUUGAGUGUUGAUUGUGAUAAAUAUGGAUUUCAUUCAUAAAAACCCAAGUGUCGGGUUUUGUUGCAAAAAUUGGAUUUUAAUGAUUAUAUUAAAUAGUGGGGUUUGAAAAAGUGAGAUAUUGGCUUGUUGAUUCGAAAUUAGCGUGUCCCCACACACGUGAGUAAUUUCUGAAAUAUUUUUAAUAUGAAGAAAAAUGGCCGGGAUCACUAUUUUAAGUUGAAGCAUUGAUUUAAAUAUAAAGUGUCAUAGGGCCGAGUAUGCUUUGGCUAUGUGAUAACUAAGAGGAACCGUCCUGGGCUGUUGAGCCGGACUUGCCCCUAUAUGGGAUGCCCACGUGGUGGAUGCGGGUCGCAGUAGAUUCUGGGCCCAUGCUCCUUCGGGAAUGCCAUCGACGUACUGACGAAGCCGCGCUCCAUGGGGGGAGGCGAUGCCUGGCAUUAGCGUCAGUAGAUAGCCGAACUGCGAGUAGGCUAUGCCCUUGUGUGGCAGUGAAUAGCAAUUGGAAUGCAUGAUGAGUGAAAUUGAUGUGCCGGAUUAUGGGACGGAAUUGUGUGGCAUGGAAUGAGACGUGUCAUAACGAUUUAGUCUUAUAAUCAGGACCCCCGCGGUUGUUGGUUAUAUGAAAGUGAAUGCGUUCCGGUUGUUUAAGUUCUUAUUACUGCAUAUGAUUGAGUGAUAUGAACUGUGCUAACCUGUAGGAAGAAACUGAGGCGAGGUAAGUCUUCUGUGUGAUGUGGCUAGGCCACCCGGGGUGUAUUUUCUUUCUAAUAGGGGUUUAGGGGGUUGAACUUGCUGAGACAUCGUCUCAUCCCGGUUGUGGGAUUAAAAUUUCAGGUCCUUAGAUGGCGGUUGUGGAGGACCCGAAGCCCUAAGUCUGGAAAGGUGGAGACUGAAGAAUCGGUGAUCGUGUCCCGCUAGUUGGUUUUAGGGUAGUUCCCCUUUUGUCGAGCUAGUCUAUUUUGCAGACAGCCCAGAAUUGUAUUUAAGCCUAUGUGUUUGUAAAUGAGUGUUUAGUAUUGUGAUUGAUUGCCUGCUUUUCUAUCCCAAGUUAAAUGUUGUCAGGGGAUUUGUUUCGCUUCCGCAUGCGUAAUAAAAUGAAUAGGUCGGCGACGUAUCCUGGGAUGUCGCAUAUUUGAUCGACCGCAGUGGGAUGUGCGCGCGCUCAGGGUUCGGGGCGUGACAGCUCCUAUUUGUAAUAACACCUUUUUUUUUAGCCUUUUAAAAUUGCUUUCAUAAUCCAACCUCUCUUUUCUCUAGUCUCUCCUUUAGCACAGAAGCGGACUCAAUUUGCGGAUGCCAAUACAUCAUGUGGGCUCGUGAUCUUCGAAUAGGCCAUCCAAGCGAAUUUGGAGGUACAUUUUGCUACAUUAAAUCAGUCAAUUCUGAAGAAAAAAAUUCCAUUGUUAAAUUUCCCGUUCGUGCAGGCCUUCAUGUUUGCCAUGUGACAAGUUUAUAGAUCGAUCGUGGACCAUGUGGCAAGUCUUCGCAUUUGCGAGGUGUGCGAAGUUAAAUGUCACAUGUGGCAAGCCUUCAUGUCCGCAGUUUUUAUUAUCAUAUAUAAUAGACGGUCCUUGAACGCAAGAAGAAAAAACUGGCAACUAACAUUCUGUUUUUUGAAUUUCGAUGUGAUUUUGAAUCUCUAUAGACAGAGUCGCUUACACUUUAAGGUUCUCUCUCUGUUAUUUCCUGCUGGACAACUCGGCGAUUCGGCACUCAAUCCCCGUCGCAGCAUCGAGCUCGCGUUGUUUGUUUGUUUGUUUGUUUUUUUUUGUGAUCCAGGAAUCCCGUACAGCCGGCAGCCGGCGAGUAAACCUGGGGGACACGUAAGCGGGAGGACUCACCACCCCGGCAUCCCACUUAAGACCCUAAGCGACCGUGAGGAGAUUCGAACUCCUCUAAUUCAAGAGGGGGAGAGAACCCAAACCAUCGCGUUGUUUCGUUGUAGUAACAUACCAAAUCGUUAUAGGAUGCCAUGAGCAAUUAGACAGAUACGAGUCGGUUGCCAUUGAACAUCCUAGAUUAGCCCCUUUCAAUUGAAAGAAUCGAAUGUUUACAGGUCUCACACUCUUUUGAGUGUAACACUCUGCUCUGCAAUCUAGCUCUCGCCUAUCAUGAAAUUCUUGUAACGAAAUUAUAAUUCUCUGUUCUAUUUCUUCUUCUUUUUCAGGUUUAUUGCGAAGCAGUUUCAAACAAUCUUUUUCUUCAGGUCGUAUCUUCCCCGAUUAAACUCUAAAUGUGAUCCCCAUUCAUUCUAGAGUUGCCUCUUGACCUAUGCUCUGUUUUGCCGUCUUUUGAGAAGCUUUUAAAGCAUAGACGAAAAGAGAGAAAAUGAGACGAGAUAAAGAAUGUAACGUUUAGGCUCGUGGAAUGUGAAUGCUUAGGUCAUCACGGAAGUCUUGCUUUUUUUCGGAAAUAAAUGAUUUUAAAAAUGGUUACCUAUAUUGUUUGAAAUAGUAAGUCAAUGGAUAAUUUUUUCAUUAUCCGUAAUAAUUUAUAUUUAAACUUUUUUCAUGAACAAUGGAGAUAUUCUUCGUUUAAUUAUUUUUGUAAGCAAUAUAAAUUAUCAUUUUAAGGAAAAUAAUUCUCAAAUCAUUCACUUUUUUCAAAACAAAUGGAAUCUUAGCCUUGUGUUUAUUGCAUCGCAGAAUGAUCUUGCUGAAGCUUAUAUGGAAAAUAGAAUUACAUGCUACAUACUGAGAUCUUGCGAAUGCCAAAUGCUUUUAUUCCUAGUAAUGCUAUGCCUACACUGGAUAGUGAUCUUAAGAACAAUUGUUAUAUAGUUGAAACUAGGAAUUGAGAGCUUCGUAGACAUAAGAAAGAGAAUUAAAUCCCCUAACUAUAGCGAUCUCUAUAUUGGAAUAUAAUAGUUGAACCAAUGUUUUUGCUCAAAUCGUAUUCUAGUUUGGAAAUGUGAUUAACAUUCUCGUUAACUAAACCUUAAUUAGGUAUAUAGUUGAAGUAGUUCUACCGCAUUGAUGUUUAGGAUGAUAUUUCCCUUCUAGAGGAUAGUUCGUGUUGAUAUCAUCAAACGGCUUUUAAACACAAUUAAUUUUUCUACAUAAAUGUUCACAAAAUGUUAAUUACUUUCCUCUCGAAAGAUACAUUUUCAUAUUCUUUAUUAGCCGCCAUCAAUAAUGAUCAAUCAUGCAUGUCUUAUGUCUACUUCUGUUAAUCGCGAUGUUCUCGCGCUUGAGCUUUGAAUCUGUGUGCACCAUCAAUGAACUCGAGUUUAUUGAACCAAGGAGAAUUCCUUCAACCUCCGACAACUUGCAGCCUUGGAGCUUUCCAAUUUUCAUUGAGCGUGGAAGUUGAGAACGUCAUUCCAUUCACGUCCGAGAUUAUAUUAACAAUAACUUUCGAUAUCAGUCUUGAUGAUCUCGUGCCGAUUGGGUUGCGAUUCUCACUAUCUCAUUGACGGAUUGGGCCAUUUAAUCAAGUGCACAUCGACCAUUUGGUGAAAUGCUUGAGUCGUGUUAUUGAAAAUGCGACUUCGAAUCUGACUAACAUGAUUGUGUCUGCUUCAAUGAUUCACCGUACCUGUUGUUUCGGUUCAGUAAAUCUAAAUUGAUAUUCACUUUUGAGUCCACUCCUGAAGGUCUUGGUCUCGAUAGGCUUCCGACAUUCUAAGGCGAUAAGCUUGACUCCGUGAAAUCAGCCAAAAAAUGUUGAUGUGCUGAAUUGUAAAUUUUCCGCGCGUGGCUGCUGGUGUGCUCAUCAAGCAUUAGCUGAUCAUGUAGGCUAAUGAAUUGGAGUGCAGAUCCCAUUUUCUGUACAUAUCUUUGCUUUAAAUGAAUGUGAAUAUGUGUUUGGAUGUAAAAAUAACGCGCAAGUUUGUGUUUGCAUUCAUACUGGAUUGUGGUUGUUGCUUGCUACUUAUAUGUUAUCAAAUGAUGCUGAGGUAUUACUAGAAGCUCUUGCAUAAAUAACUAGGAAAUUUAGCCAUGUACGGUUUAAAACUUUAUUCGUACAGUGUGAUGAAGAUAAUCACCCCAUUUUCUUGUUAUGAUGAGUAACUUAAUCAGAACGCAUGAAUUUUUUAUUUUCAAAGAGUUUGAAAAAAUGUUGUUUCUAUUUUGAAUUAAUUUAACUAGUGUCGUAGGAAUGUUGUCGAUAUUCACUGCAUUUUCUUGUUAUAAUAAGUAACAUAAUCCACUGAGGACAUCGGAUUCUUUUAUGCUGUCGAUGUACAGAUGGGUUGCUGUAGGAGUUCUUUGUGGGCCGAUGGCGGAUCUAGGUUUUCCUGCAGUCAGUUUGGUGAUGCCAUAAUUUUUUAUACCUCCUAUAAGCAAAACAAUUAUGUGGUGCCAUUUUCUACUUUUGUUGGUGUAGCCGGUUCUUCUUGUGUGUGCUCUAGUUGCUGAUGAAUCAAAGGAGUCCUUCAUAUGGUUGUUUGAGACAUGGCUCAGGGCAAUGUCUGGUUGCCAUUCCAAGUCGAUAGUAGCCGAUCAUGAUGAUUCCAUUCUGCAAGUGAUUGAACAGGUUUUUCCUUCGAGUCAUCAGCGAUUCUCAGUGUGGCAAAUUAAGACAAAAGAAUGUGAGGAUUUGAGUCCACUGAGUGGUGAUUGCAAAUUUGAAUAUGAGAAGUGUGUUUAUCAGCCAUACAGUUGGUGAAUUUGAUGCUGCGUGGGAUGCUCUUCUCAGCAAAAAUGGUUUAAGGGAAAAUGCUUGGCUGAUGGAAACAUAUGAAAAGCGUGAAAACUGGGCUCCACUAUACUUGCGCGGAUCAUAUCGUUUUGAGAUAUGAGCAAGGUUUGGAGCAACGUCGUGGCAAUGAAAGGAUGGAAGAUUAUAACUCAUUCAACUUGCAGGCAUUUUUGCACACAAAUGGACCGAUGGAAGAGCAAUAUAGGAGGCUUUAUACCCUUUCUGUUUUCAAAUGUUUCCAGAGGGAACUUCUACAAAGCUACCUUUUAUUCAUCAACAGAUAUUUGAUCUGUAAGUGCAGCAAUGAGAAUGAGAAACAUAUCGUUACCUUUUGUUCAUCCAAUCUCGAUGCGAGUUGUGGCUGUCAAAUGUUUGAAUCGGAGGGUGUUGUGUGUAGACAUGCUUUGAGAUUGUUCCAGAUUCUAUAUUGUAGAGUGAAUUAAAAGAGUUGCUCAAGCUUGUGGGCGUUAUAUGACGGAACCUUAUGAAUGAAGAUUGCAGGGUCAAAUUUAGUAGCUGGAGGAGGAUUUACACGCUCUUAUGCAUCAGGUAUGAUUGUACACUCCAUUCUGAAUUCAUACUGUGAUGGCAAUCGAGACUAUUGCAGUAUUUUCAUCUUUUUAUUCUAAGACGAUCUACUGCAUAACUUCAUCUUCUACUGCAUAAUUGAUGAUAAAAAUAGCUUGUAUCUAAAGAAAAACCUGUUCUCUCUCUCUCUCUCUCUCUCUCCCUAUAACCAAUACGGGCAAUUUUGUUGUUAUUAUGUGAUGUGAUACUAGAUUUUUUGCGACCAGUCACGAUUCAUUACAUCGAGUGUUUUUAAGUGAAGAUUCAUGCCCAUUUUGUUUUUGGAUGGAUGGUUGAAGAAAGUUUUGCAAGAAAAAUUGCCCAAAAAGUUAGGAAUAUAAGCAAGAAGUCUCUUUUUCCAUGGGCUCAUAAAUUCGACACCAGAUAUGAUGCCAACAAAUGUAAAUGGACUUGCUGCUAUGUCUACGACCUGAAAAGUCAAAUCACCAAUUCCCCGAUGCUCUGUUUGUUUCCACAUCCUACACAUGAAAGCUUUCUUUUAAUUGAUUCCAGUAUGAUGAUACAAAAAUUGUAAAGAUCAAUAGAUGGGCUUCAGUAGCCAAAGAAAAUAUCAUCUCGGUAAAAAAAUUUGGGUAUUCAGAGACCAAAUCAUGACCAUCAAUCUCAUUCAUCGUGUUGGUCCUUCUCCUUUAUCGCAUAGCAUAAUUGUCUCUCUCUAAUUUCCACACAAGAAAAAGAGAGUGACAUUGCCAUCUUUCAAGAAAAGGAUGGUGCUUCAAACCAAUCUUGUCACGUACCCACUAUACCCAAAACAUACAAAUAUGUGCCAAAAGCUACAUGCUAGAUUCCUUGGAGGCGAUGUUUGAUGCCAAAAAUAUUAUGCGAGUGAUUUUAUAAUUCAAUUGUUCUGUGGGAUAAUAUAAACUCUUAACUCAAUACCACAACCACUCGUGAAGGCGCUUGUAAGACCUUUUAAAUUCGAUCCAUUUCAGCAAUAGACUUGUCCUUCGUGGCAAUGUUGGGUGCACUUGUGCAAGGAGGCAUUGUGGCGUCGUUCUUGUCUCCUCAGUAUCCCCAUCUUUGACUAAGGAAACCGUAAAUUCAUACCCCAACUCAGAUGUCGAUCUAUGUGGCAAUGCAAGUACCACAACUUCACCACAUGUCAAAAAGUUAUAUGUUAGGUGGAACAUUUAUGAUUGAAGACGGCUAUUGUCGUUCAAACCAAUCAAACGAAAGGUCAAAUUAUGAAAUCACCCUCAGCUAUCCUUUCCUUCAAUUAUAAUUUGUAUCCUCCUUUACUUUCAGAAUCCUAACCGCAGGACCUUGAACAAUCCCGCACUUCUCCUUAUGAAUUCUAAAGCCACAUCAGGAAAAAUGUUAGGAACACAUAAAAUUACCAGCGGGGGUCCAUCCCAACAUGCACCGAGAAAUUUAGGGAGCUUCGAUUUUUUAGGUGAAAUAAAAAGGAAAUACCUAGAAGGAAUGAAAGAAAGGAAAGAGAGGAAGAAAGGGUAAAUUUACAGACAUAUGAGGACAAAAGGACCAAAAAACAAUAACAAUAAAUAAUAACAACAACAACAAGAAUAACAACAAAUUGAUAAAUAAAAAUAAAAGAAAACAGCCACUACGAAUCCUAAACUAUGCCCAUGAUAAUAUAUUUGUCCCGAAAUUUUUUUUAUUGUGACACAAAAAACCUCAAAUUUGUACUUAUAUGACACAUUUAUUCCAAACUUUUUUUUUUGUGACCCCAAAAGCACCAAACUUGUACUCAUAUGAUGCAUUUGACUUUUCAUGGCUAAGUGAUUGUACCCGAUCUUAGUACUUAGAUGUCACUUUUUAAAGUCUGAUCUAUUUCGCCGUAUGAUUUGUCCUUGGAGGCGAUGGAAGGAGGCAUGUAGGAAGGAGGUGGCCUCAUACUCGUCUCUUCCGUGUCCCCAUCUUUCACUAUGAAAGCGGUGCUCAUUCCCCAGCUCAUAUGUCGAUUUAUAUGACAAUGCCAAUACCAUACACCUGCCAUGUACAAUGUUCGAAUGUUAGUUGUGGAAUUCUUUUCCUAAUGCAAAAAUGGUAUUUUUGUCCAAAUGCAAAAAGGAAAGAAAAGGGCAUGAGGAAUACCUGGAUUAUUUGCCCUGAAUCUAAUCGCAGCCCACCCUCUUUUAGGAACUCCAAAUGUAUUGACUUUAGGCGGGUCAACCAAAUUGUACAUUUGAGGAUCGGUCUCGUUGUCGAAAUUUCCUAAGCCGACCCCAAUAACAUAAAAGCUAUAUCCAUGCAUGUGCAUUGGAUGAUAUUCUGAUUGGUCCAACAGAUUAGUCCCCUGAAACACCAUCUCUACAGUUUCGUUGUAGUUCAGAACUUUCACGGAUGUCCCUUGGGCAGCCUCGGCAAGACUGGUCGACAAAUCGUCUCCCGUGAAAUUAUACAUAACGGGAGGAAGAUCGAGAAAAUCCAUGGUGUAAACUCCGCUGAUGUUUCUGCAUAUUAAUGGCAAAAGGAUGCGCUUCUCAUGAUCUUCAUCUAUCAUUGACGUGAAAAAAUAUUCAAAUCAGAAGGGAGAGAGAGAGAUGAACCUGUAAUAAGCUUGUAGCACAUCGACAGAUCGGUCCUCCCAACUUAUGUUAUUUAAGGCUUCGGCAACUUUGUAAUCACCCAAAUAACACGAAUCAUCUGGGCAUGCCACGUGAUUCGCGGAAACUGUGAUGAACAUCCUCGUCGUCACGUUGCGAGGGACGUCCACUGGAUGUUCUUCAGAUGCCAAGCUUCUCAGCUGUUGUAUGAAACUCGCUGCAGCACUGUAGUCAUGAUAAAGUGGUAGUGUGUCAUUUGGGUAACUUGGUGGUGACGUCAGACUAAAAUUCCCUUUAUACUGGAUGAUAGCAGUAGCAACUUCGUGGACAAAAUUGGUGAAAUCGAUGUCUUCAGUUGAAAAUUCUUGAGCGGCCAGGUAAUACCUUCCUGGAGAUUGAUUUGCCGUAACUAAUACAUCCAUCGUUUGUCCAGAUUCUAUCACUAGAUACGAAACAACGAUUGGUUUUGUGUACGCUCCAUCCAUCCCAACUAACGUCAUGUUAUGAUCGGCGAUGGAGACGAACAUUUGUGAACCGACCGCUGCAUUGACUAUACGAAAAAGAUAGGUCUUGCCAUAAUUGACAGAAAAGUAAGACGUGGUUUCUGUAAAAUUAAUAGCAUGAAAAAAGAAUAUAUUAGACAUUGUACAUAACAAACAUGUGGACAAACCAUUAUCCAUGAUCCAGACAAUUCAAUGCUUAAUCAUACACAUCUAUGUAAUUCAAUGCAAGUUAAAUUUACUACAGACAAGUGCUACUGAAAGUGUUAGUUUUACUUUUAGAUACACAAUAAGUAUCAACAUUGCAGUAUAUUCUUAUCAAAGAGAAUCAUAUAUCUACAAUAACUUGAAAUGCAAACAUUUUAAGGAAGUAGCCUUUACCUCAUGGUCUGCAUCUCUACCCUCAUAAGCAUAAUGUCCAAACAGAAAGGAAAAAAUGAAAAAGAGAAAAGAGGAUGGGGGGAGUACAAAUGUACCGUUGGAGCAGGGAACAAAAUCUCCAUAUUGUCCAUUGAUCAUGUAACCAGUUGCACGAGGUACGUUAUAACUGCCUGCAGACAAUUCCAUCUCUAAAGCUUUAUUUAGAGAAGUUCCUUCGUUAAACCAAGAACCUGCAAAUCAUGAAAGGAAAAUGGGAAACUGAAUUACAUCAACCUUUGCCUUUACCAUGCAACCGCAAAGAAAUGCAUAGUUGGAAAACAGAGAUGGCAAUGGAGGAGUUCCAUCGUAGAAAGUUCUGAUCAUUAAACUUCAAUUUCCAAAUGAAACAUUCAAAUAAUCUCAAUAUUCUAGUGAGGGAGUUUGAUCUUCACUAUAAUAUACACUUUUGCAAGGUUUUCAAAUAGAUAGCAGCCCACGAUCAUUAGUUACUUUGUAUGCUUUUAGGAAGAGGCAUGCUCUGAUGAAUUCUGCUUUUUUAACUCUUGAUCCACUUCCUGCCCUUAGCCUCCAGUUUUAUGUCUAAGAGGACCCAUAAGAAAUCUUAAGAGCACGUACCGAGCAUGAUUAAAUGUUCUCCAUCUGGCGUAGUGAAUGGGAAAUUUGAUCCUUCACUUGGUAGAAUGACAAUAGCACCAUACACAAUAGAUCUUGUCCACUCAUUAUGGGCAUGCCACCAAAUAGUUCCUUCUUCAUCAGUUAAAUUUACUUCAUAAGUAAAAUUUGUUCCCGGUGGAAUAGCGCAUUGCGUAAUAUACUCCGGACCAUCUGACCAUGGAUUUCGCGGUUGCUUCACUCCAUGCCUACAAAUCAGUGAAUCUGAUCAUAUAAAAAAGUACUCGAGGAGCUAGACAAUGUUUUGUUUGCAUUUAAUAAUCAAAAUUCAAUGUCUUUCUUGCACAUCUUUUAGAUAAAAUAUUUUUCCAUCAUUGAAGCUCCAUUUGUUUUGCGAAAAAUGAACGAUUUGGAAAAUAUUUUCCUAAAAAUGAUCAUUUGUGUCGCUUAUGAAAAUGAAUGAACGAAAGAAAUUUCAUUGUCCUCGAUAAUGUUAGACAUAAAUUGUUAUCAAUAUUGAAUUAUUCUCUAUCGACUAAUUAUUUCAAGCGAUACAUGUAAUUGUUUUUAGAAAAAUAUUUUCCAAAUCAUUUAUAUUUUGCAAAAUAAACAGAGCCUAAGUAAAUAAGUAUUUGAUAAUAAGUGAACCUACUAAAGGCAGCUUGUAUAGUUAAAAAUGACAUUAAGAACUAAUAAACUAGAAUCAACGUUGUUUUAGUUAUUUUAUAAUCUAUCAAGAUGACAUGAAUUACGAAGAAAUUAUUUAUGAAAUUAUGAAGUCACAUUUUUAAAAUGUUGUGUAUGAUUGUGCUUUCCAUAAAAGUAGGAGAAGAUGCAUAUUAAUAAUCAACUCGGGGCAUGCCUGAGGAUCACUAGAUAGAAAGGGAUUUGUUGAUGAUGCCUUUUUAUCUUCACCCCAAACUCGGGUAGUUGCCCACCUGUGAGGGCCGACUGCAAUAGUCCCCAAAUGGGACGUCCAAUUAGACCACGUUCCUUAUUUUAACAUGUUGAUACUCGUGCGUCUCAUACUUCCCGUUGGUAAGUGAAUGUUUUUCUUCCCCACCAACUAAGGAACACAGGAGGUGACAUUGCGGGAUCUCUCACCUCAGGGUGGAUUUCUUGCCUGUUUCUUAUCCCUCGAGCCUUUUAAAGACUUGCCCAAGUCCAAAUGAGUGUACUUAGGAGAUAUUAGAAGAGAUUUAUGGGAAAAAAUGAAAAUUAUCAAAAAGAAAAAAGAAAACUAUUUCAUGAGUGAUAGGAACUAGACAUAGAUAGACCGAUUCUUCUCACUUAGACACGAAGUAAAAAAUUAAAGAAAAUGAUUUUCUUUUUAUCAGAAGCGGAAGUCUUAUGAAAAAUAUUUCAUCAAACAAAUCGACCCUAAACCUACUAAUGAGCACCACUAGAAAAAACUAGAGGUUCUUGAGAAUAUAUCCUGUAGUAUAAUUUCAGGUACAAUUUCGCUUCCUUUUAACUGUCUAUGGCAUCACAAGCUAACAAAAGGAGAGCAAUAAAAAACGUAAGAAGAAGGUGGGCAGAAUAAAAUUACCAAUGAAGAGUGACCCCGUACAGUCCUUGAUUGUGAACCUUCACGUACAUAAGAUCACCCUUUCGAGCUCGAAUGGUUGGUCCAGGAAGACUGUCGUUCACCACUAGAAUCGUAUUGGUUGUACAAUUCCUUGUGACGUUGAUUUCUCUCAACUGUGGGGGGGCAAAAAGAAAAAAAAUGAUGAUAAAUUUCAUACCAUCAUUAUAAAAUUUACCACCCAGAUAAAAGAGGCUGACAUCGAAAGGUACAGGAUUGUCCAAGUACGUGCAAAAUGAUUGUGGACCAUGUUUAGCCGAGUCGUUGGCUGGUCCCUCUAUUUGGUCCCCCCCAAAUUUCAGAUGCUUUUGGAUAUGUAUGUUCACGAUUUAUCUGGCGAAAACGACUCGAUCAUCCCUUCGGUUCUGUAAGUGGCGACAUAAGAGGACCGUGGAGGGGCUGAUGUAGAUGUGAGCCCGAGUAAUAUGCGCAGUCAGAUCACGUGUCUUAAAUGGGUGCCACCUCAUUUAACACCCCAUGCGAAUUGGAUCAACGUCCCCAGAAAGUGCAUGUAAGAUUUGGCCCACCAUUAUCUUUCCCUCUAAAUGGAUCAUCACCCGAGGCGAUUUUUAGGAAAAGAAGAAAAAGAUUUGAGAAUAAAUAAUCGCUAUCAUACAAAUUGCAUAAUCACUGGUUCCGUAUGCUCUGGAAACUGAAAGUUUUGUUUGUCUAUUAAAAUAUUCUAGCAAAAAUCUGAACAGCGUGAACUGCACACACUAAGCAUCACAGACAUAAACUUGAGUUACUUACCACGAAGUCGUAGUAGUGGACAUUACUAGCUUGAGCUCCGAGGAAGACGUUUCCAAAGAAAAGCAAGACCGUAGCGAGGAUAAUGUUGGAGGAAUUGGACGACGAUUUGGCCAUGCUCAUGAUCGUUCAACGCUCGAUCCGUUCUUCUCUUUACUCUCUCUUUCCUUUGGCCGGUCUUGAGCUGGUUCUCUCUUCUUUUAUAACGAACGGUCAGUGGAGCCUCUCUUCCCCUCUCUCUCUCUCUCUCCCCCGAAUCCUUUUUCGUCUUUUCCACUUAUGGAGGAGAGAGAUUUGACCUAAAUCUCUCCCUCCCCUCCUAGUUCCUUUUUCUUUUAUCUCUAUAUAUUUCUUUCCUAAUUCUCCCGAUCUAGUUUUAAAUCAGAGAGCUUUGCUCUCUUGAUAUUAUAUUUGGAAGCUUUUUUCUCCAAUCUAAUUCUAAAUUUUGAAGUUAAAAUAAAUAAGUACUCCGCCUUCAAUUUUAAUGGUGUUUAUAGCAGCUUUAGUGUUAAAUCUAUACUCGUUCGAUUAUUUUUUAUUCAAAGUUUUGGCACUUUGCAUUAAUUAUGGGACUCGCUCUCAUAGGUGUCAAAACUGAGAUUUUUCGACAUGUUUAUAUUGUUUCCGUAUGGUGAUGGUUUUGGGAAUGCCAAACCUAGGGGCACACCAUCGAAAGACAAAGCCGUAAUUAUAAAUGGAGAUCUCAGUAUGUGUUUUUCAUUGAUGGUGCUGUGUGAUUCGGUGAUUGGUAGUCGAUCCUUUCGCUUGAAUCUAGUUAUACAUCUGUUCCUGAAAGACGAGCUUGUGAUGAUCUCUGCCAACUAUGCUCUGAUGAGACGCCUUGAUUUCUAGUAUUUUAUUUGUUUUGGAGCUCUAUAGGUUCAAUUGCGAGCCAUUGAUUUUUAUUGAGGAUUAAAAACUAGGCAAAAUGAAUAGACAAUACGUUAGUUAAAAACUUAAUUUUUUUGAAGGUCAUGGUGUGGUUGGUUCUUUUAAGGUUUCCCAACAUCGGAAAUGUGCGGAGAAUUAGACUCUACAUUAAAAGUCUUAACCUCCACAGAAGUUAAAACAUUAAUUGUUUGAUUCAUUUUGUUUACAUUAACCUAAUUUAACCGUGGGAAUGGCCAAUGAAAGACAUAAUUAUACUAUUAAAAUGAGCCACUGGCUCUUGUGGACAUCUCCAAUAGGUUCUCUCUUUCCUUUACGUUUAUUUAUUUUGUUUCGGUUGAGAAAGCAAGUAGAUAGAUUAUUAGAAGGUAAAAAAAUAGAGGGUUAAUCAUAUUGCACACUCAGCCAAUUAUAUGUACAUAUAUAUAUUUGCUCCAAAAAUUAUAAAAUAAUUUAUGUCUUUUUAAAUAUAAAUAUUUAUACCAGUCCAGUUUAGUUGGAUGGGCGGGCGGUUCCACACCUAGAACUAGGAAUUAGACCAAUACUCAUUGGUUCUACUAAAUUGGAACCUAGAACCGAACCCACCUCCAUGGGAAUUGCCGAUUCUAGUCAUGUCCGGUUCCAAAUGGUCCAAGCGAUUUCCAGUUCUUUUACACACCCUUAAUUAUGACCCGCAUUGUUGUCAUUAUUGCCAUACAAUCAUGAAAUGAAAUAGCAUAAUAAUUCAAAUUAAUAAACAUCUUCAUCUUACAUGUAAAUUUUUUUAAUAAAAGGAAAAAUCAAUUAUAACUACAAUUAAUUUUGAUACAUUCGUAUCUGCGUGAAAAUUACAAUGCAGAUCUCACAUGCUUUCCUACACACUUCCUGUAUAUGAUUUUGCUAUUGUGUAAAUCACUAGUCAUCAUUUGUGAAUGUCAUUUCUGUCCUUGUUUUCACAUGUAAUUUACCCUGCGUCUAAUUGAGUAAAUUAUGGUGCACAUUUGCACGCGAUGUCUCUUAGAAGACAACAUAGAUCUUGUUGACUAUUAGAUGAGGUCUUCGACCAAACGUUAGGAUCAAAGAUCUGGAAACCUGAUUUUUGGAUCUUCAAUGCACAUUAUCUUGUUUUUUUUUUUUUUGCAUGGUUUUAUCUAAGAUAUUUUAUUCGUCACGUGCUAGGCAGUGAAAUAAAUAGUUAUAGCCCCUAAAAAUUCAUUAAAUAAACCUAUUUGAAUAUUCGUCCAUAUCAAUCUAUAAAAGCAUGAAAAUUGAGCUAUAAACACUCAUAUAUUAAAUUAAAAUUGGUAAUUUGAAGUUAAAGAAGCUAGAUGCUUUUGUCAAGGACCACCAGGUCCUUAGGAAAAGUACAAAAAAACGUCCUAAAUUUAUUGUAUUUGUACCAAUUCAGUCUUAAACCUUUAAAUUUGACCAAUUUAGUCUUAAAGUCUUUCACAUUGGAACCAAAUCAAUUUAUCUGGCAAAUUUAGGCUGGAAAUCAAUGACGUGGACGCCAGCCAUCUUACAUGAUGCUGACAUGGACAUUUUUAAAUAUUUUUUUAUUUUUAAAAUUUUUCCUUUUCCUUUUCCUUUUUUUCCUUUUUUUUUUCUAUUAUUUUUCUUUGGACUAUGGUUGAUACCGGCCACAGGUGGGCGCUGGCGAGGGUGUCGUGGCCCUUACUAAACCUAAAGAUAUUCUUGGAUGGUAGAUAAGUUUCCUAUUCUUGAGACCCACCAUCAAAUGUAUAUCUUUGCACUAUUUAUUAAAAGCAUGAUUUUGUGUUCACAGAUGUUUUUUUUUUUUUUUUGGUAUUGGAGGAACCGGCUUGCACCCGACAGCCGCGCCGUAAACCCCCAGGUGACACUUAAGCAGGAGGGCCCACCAUCCCUGAGUUACACUUAAUACACCUAACGCCUCCCCUGGGUUUUGAACCCUUUACCUCUUCGUUGAGGAUCAGCAGAGCCUUAUCCAGUGGAGCCACCACGGCCAGUGGUUGUGUUUACAGAUGUUUUUUUUUUUUUUUUUUUUUUGGUGCUGGAGGAAUCGGCUUGCAGCCGACAGCCGCGCCGUAAACCCCUAGGUGACACUUAAGCAAGAGGACCCACCACCCCUGAGUCACACUUAAUACACCUAGCGCCUCCCCUGGGUUUUGAACCCUUCACCUCUUCAUUGAGGAUCAGUAGAGUCUUAGCCAGUGGAGCCACCGCGGCCGGUGGUUGUGUUCACAGAUGUUCGUUGCUUCUUAUUCUCAUAAUUUUUAAUAAGAUAUACAUAUUGGUACGUACUGUCGUAUGUAAUUUUUUAUUUAUUUGUGUUAUGGUAGAAAAGUAAAAAGUUGCAUAUUUUUCCUGAACACAUGCCCUCACUUUUCACAUAUUAUUAUCGCGUAGCAUCUAACUAAAAGCAAAAACGAUAUGCAUAUAUCAAGUAUUCAAAUAAAUAAUGGAGAAAACCAAAAAAGUUGCACAAUACGAGUAUUAUAGAAAGUUCUUCGCAAAAAUGUCUUUCAGAUGGAGCCAAGGCCCGAGAUCGCAAUUUGGGGUGGAGAUUUUGUCGGCACAAGAUGACUCUGGAGUGGACAGCUGUGUACAAAGAUAGAUAGGUAGCCAGAAAGCAACUUAACUUUCCACCAUGGUCACAUAUUAACAUCACUUUCUUAUACCACCGGCUCAGGUGGCUCCGCUGGGUAGGCUCCAGACCUCCUCGAGGAAGUCGGGAGUUCGAAGCUCCUGCAACGCAAGUUACAGAGAGGCUGGUGGAUCAUUAGGCGAUUUAAGCGUGGCGUCGGGGUGGCGGUUUCCUUGUUAGCAUCACUAAAGGGUUUACGACGCACUGUCGGUGCAAGCUGGUUCAUCCUAAAAAAAAAAAAAAAACAUCACUUUGUUUUUAUUAUUUUUUUAAAAUUUCUUUUUGGGCUUUGCGCCACUUCUGUCUGCUUCUUCCUCCUUUAUAGAGACACUAGGCGCUUUCGGAACUCUAGAUAUUGAAGGCCAAAUAUUAAUAUGUUAGUUGUCACUCAUUAAUGGUCUACCGGCUCAUUUAUUACACAAAACUUAAUAUGAGCACCCACCUCAUUUACUGUAAAAGCACCGCCUCAUUUAUUAUAUCUAAAUGACAAAUACCAAUCACCAAAUCUAUGUCUCUAUGAAUAUAUUGAAAAAAAUAAGUAAAGUAAUACAUUUGAUUAAUUGUAAGGAAAGUGGGAAGGAAUGAAGUUUUGUAAUGAUAUUCAACAAUUCUCCCGAUGGUUUCCGCCAUUUUUGUUGUCUCUCUCUAGAUUAGAAGAUAAUUAAUCUAGUGGUUUCAAGUCUAUAGACUACUUAGGACAUGUAUAGCAAGUCUGUGUUGAAAAUAGCAUUUCUCAUCGGCCAUCCAAAAUAGAAGAUGAAGGUUAAGUCCAUAAUGCAUUUGGGACCCACUGACAUUGAUAUUUAUUUCGCAGAUUGGUUUUAUCUCACAGUUUCCAAGGCCUGGAAGCAAAGGAGAAUAGGACCAAGUUGUGAAAGCAAAUUGUCUCUCUAGGGACAAACACUUCAUUUUUUCCCGAGGCUUCGUUCUAUAUAUUACUUUUUUUAAAUGAUGGAGGUCAUUGUCUAAUUUCUUGUAUGGAUUUCGAGGUAUGACAAAGUUGGUAACAAAAAAGCCCAAGGCAUAUUAGUUUGCUUUGAGUCAAGCACUGUGAAACGUGAGAUGCAAUUAAUAACUCAUAAAUGUGUAGAUAUAUUGAUAGAUAUGCAAUACAUGUUAGGACAUAGAUUUUUUCCGUUAAGAUAGAAAGUUUUAUAUGUGUAGAUAACAAUAGAUUUGUUAACAUUUUAUUGGCCACGCUAAACCUCUCGAUUCAAAACUCUCCUUCAUAUCUUCACUUAACAUUAUUGCUAUUAUUUUACUAUAAUGUUUCAAUUUGAUUAAGGAAGUUCACUCUUGUUCCUAACCUCUCAAAAUUAUUUGCUUCCUAUGAAUAAAAUGCUUCUGCAUUCUUCCCUUGUUUUCUCAUAUUCUCUAAAUAAAUAAAUAAAACUGCCUUAAAGAUGUCUUUUUCAAUACGAGGCAAUACCAAAACUUGCACAUUUAUUUGAUGUAAAAUGAUAUAUUUAGACAUUUUAUGCAUGUCACUCCAUUUUUAUAAAUUUCAAAAGGAUUGUAGGGGCAAAAUGGGGCAAAACGACGAACAUAUCCACAGUUAUUUUUCUAGCAUAUAUAGAUUUGUACAGAAUUUUUUACUAUAUAGGUUUCCUAUUGCAAUCAUAUCAAUUAGUUUGGAAUAUCCUUUUGUUCAAAUUUAUAGCUCUACUUUUAGCUCUAUUCAAUACACAAUUGAAUCUUUGUCGAAUUUCCUUGUAGAUGUUUUGUAAUGGUAUUGCAAGACCACAACAAUUCCCAUUUGGUCGCUAGUGACAAGUCAGUGAUGUUAGACCCAACAAACCUUGUUAUUAUAAGAACGCAUUUCUUGAAACAUGACAAGAAUGUGCAAAGCAUCUUUUAACAUCUUCGAAAAAUUAGGAGUCUGAAAAAAUUCAUGUUGUUUUCUUGUGGGAAUACUCCCAUACUUGCCUAAACUACGCGAGAUACCCUUUAACGUACUUUUGGAGGAUCUUUUGUAGUGUAGACACGUUCGUAUGUGUGUAUGCACCCGAGCUAUGUGUGAAAGACUAGUAGCCAUUAUCAUUCAUAGAGGAUGUGAUCAAAGGAGUAAAUCUUUGUAACUUUGUUCAACAAUAUAAUUUGUAACUCUUCCAAAAAGAACGUAGUUCUCAUCGUCCCUUUCCAACGAUAUGUUUCCCUACAAUCGCUUCGACUAUGGUGAUGUUGCUGUUCAUGCGCCUCCCAGCGACUCUCUAAUGCAUUUCCUUUUCUUUUUUUUCUGUUGUACUUUAGCUGGUACGUCCAUGAUGGGGUGCGAUUGGAACGCACCAUUUCGUCUUAAUGCAUUACGAUGGAAAGACACUAAUGGAAGGGUACGAAGGGAGAUGUAUUAAAGCCUCCCAAACACAACCGUUGGAAUGGUUGGCAGAGCAUACGAUCAGAAAAUCCUCUCACUUGUUCGUUCCAUUUCCAUCAAAGGGAUAAGGCGUUCCAUUUCACAUUUUACAAGAACAAUUUGCAUUUACGCCGUGGAAAUCGGGUGCUUUCCUCACGAUCACAUCCAGACUGACGUGAGAUAGUUUUUGUUUGUAAUUCAUUCGCAAUUCAACGUUCGUUCCGAGGUUAAUUGCUGUUUGCACAUCGGAAUCAGGUAAGUCAUCUUCUGCCGACUUGAAUUCUAACAUUGGUAUCAGAGCUAGGUCGUGAUUUCUACCUUGUUUUUCAUUGAGUUUUCUCAAUUUACCAUUUGAUAUUGAGAUCAAGAGAUUGUAUUCUACACUGUUUUUUAUGUUUAUUGGUUGUAAUUGCAAUCUGAAAACUCGAAUUCGAAUCGAAGCGAAGAACGGGUUCGGGGUCGCGUACACCACGUACGGUUUUGGCCAUUUUUCGAAAUAAUUUUUUGGCCAAAAUUAAUUUUUAAAUAUACAAGGUGAAAGAGCUCGUUGAGACGAAUUCCGUGAUGGGUCGAGUACCACCGGAUGACGCCGGACGCGCCCAAACGCGUGGCUAGAAGCCACUACGCAUGGGCGCCACGCACCUGAAGCGCUGGCUAAGCCAGUGCGUGCGUCUCAUGCGCCGGUCAGCGAACUAGCAGGUACGCCUCAUGCGCCAGUCGGCGAACCGGUGCAUGAUGACGUCACCGUGACGUCACCCAACGGUCGGCAACCAUUGGGAUGAUGUCAUCGCCAACGAUAGUUGGCUGGCCGACGACCCGACCCGUGACUCAAACCAACUCGAGAUCCGACCUGGGUUGACUCAACCCGAUCGACAGUUGACCGGUCAACAAUCGGACUAGCCAGGAGCCGUUUGGCUCGCUGGCGCAUGCACCACACGCGUCGUGCACUCAGGAGGUGCGUGGGGGCACGUGCGAGCUCCGAUUGAAGCGUGGUCAGUGGCGUUUGGUUCGUAUGAAUGUUGUCUACACUGUGGUAUAAUUAUUUUAUACUUUUGAAUUUUAUAAAUGUAAAAAGAUAUGUAGAAAACCCUAUGUACGGGUAUUUUUUGGGGUUUAAUACAUAAUUUAUUCAUUUGUAGCUUAUAUUUUCUUAUGGUUUAGGAAAUACAGUAGCUAGCUUAUGUGCAAAUGGUGUCAUAUAUACUAUGUAGAGCUUGGUUCGAUGAUAUCACGUAUAUAGUUUAAUAUACUUGCAAUUUUCUAGUUGCUAGAAAAUUCGAAUAAUGGUAGGAAAUCCAUUAUAUGUCGAAUUGUGAUUUUGAUUAUAGUUGAAGCAUAAUUGUUAUUUGCAAGUUGGUUCAUAUCAUGUUAUGUUUUUGUGUUAAUGGAAAAAUGUAGAAAUUACAUGAGGUCAUGUAAUUAUUUUUUCUAAUGGGAGUUCAAAGGUUGGUAAAAUUGAAAGGAGUUCUCAUCUAGAACUUAAAAUUUGCGCAAAUUAAACUAAUUAAUGAUAAUAGAACAAUUGUACAUAGAAGUUGAUUGGGAACACAAUGAACUUUUGCUUAUGUGUCUUUUGUUGAAUUAUCAUUAAUUUAGUUUGUCUUUACUGCAAAUUAAAUAUGUGUGUUACUCUGUAAAGUAUGCUAGUAUUGAUUCUGCGUUUAUUAUGUCAAUGUGUUAUAACAAUUUAUUAUGGCUUCGGCAUCCAAGACCAUUGUUGCUGACCUCAAUAAGGGUGAGAAGCUGAACGAUGACAAUUAUGAUAUUUGGCACCGAAAGGUUCAGCAUAUCCUUGAGAAACAAGCGGUUUUGGAAACCCUCAACCAUACCCUGGAUGAACCUGAGCAUGAAGCUUCAGCUCAACACAAGAGAGAUCUAGAAGCUUAUCAAGCUUAAAAAAAAAAAAAAACAUUGCUCGCAUCACGUUGCUGAGCUGUAUGCAAGAUGAUCUCAUGUGUGAGUUUGAAAGUUAUGAUAAAACUCAAGUUAUGUGGGUUGCCUUGAAAGAUAAGUUUGUGGGUACAUCUGCCACUAAGCUGAGGAGACUCACUAUCAAGUUUGACACAUUCCGAAAGCGCCCAAAUGUAAUUAUGAGGCAGCAUUUUCGGGAGAUGUCAAAUAUGAUUCUUGAGCUGAAGUCGGCAAGUCACUCUCUUACUGAUGAACAGCAAGUUCAUGCUGUUAUAAGGUCUCUUCCUAAUAAUUGGGAGCAUAUAAAGAUCAAUAUGACGCAUAAUGAGAAUAUUGUCACUUUUGAUUAUAUUGCUCAUCAUUUGGAAUUAGAGGAUGAGCGUCUAGAGGUUGCGAGAUCCUCUACCCAUGCUUAUGUUGCUGAAUCAAGUUCGCGCAAAGCUUCGGGCUUCAAGCGCAAAAGGAAUUCUCAAUUCAACAAUAAAGGGAAGAAGAUUGAUCAGGCACUUAAGAGGGCUAAGACCUUCCAACGCAAGAAGCGUGGUGGGAAAAAGGAUAAGGCCAAGAUGAAAUGCUACAAUCGUGGUAAGAUGGGUCAUCUUGCUCGUGAAUGCACUGAGCUAAAAGAGGUACCUUAUUACUCCAUUACUUUAAGCAAUGCUUUUGUUUCUAGCAUUGUGAUGCUUGCUGAAUCUCAUUCAAUGUGGACUUGAUAACAUCCAAACGUAUGUUUGCUUUUAAAGGUAGUAAAGUGUUGGAAGCAUACAACAUAAAGUUACCGUCAAAGUGAUUAUAGCAUGAUCUAACUUACAACAUCCAACGUCCAUGAAAUACUAAUAAGGGUCUAAAUUUUUAAUGUACUUCAACUUUUUAAGUUGAGAGUGGCAUCAAGUUGAGAGACUUUUGUAAGAGUUUUCCUAAUGUGGGCUAGAUUAAUUGAGAUUGUGAUCUACCAUUUUAUGGGAUUGGUCUAAUAGAGUAAGAUAUGAAGUUUCUUAACAGUCGAAUACGGACCUAAGUUGUGUGGGCCGAGUUAGGCCUGACCCGUGAUAAGAUAGCUCGGCCAAAGCUCUAUAAAUAGGCUAAGUUCCCUUCUCUAACCCUUAACUGUCAUUUUCAAACAUAUACACCCAUAUGCCUCACAUAAAGAACGUUUGUGAGGGUUAGUCUUAUCGAGCUGGGGUCUCUAGGGUGAUUGAGGAGAAGAUCUUCAACAUUAAAGGAUUGGAUUAUCAUUCUUUUGUAUCAAGAAUCAUGGAUUCCAAAUUAACUAUGUGAAUCUUUUUCUUCUCCUUUAAUAUGUUCGAGUUUCUAACUUUGUCUAUCUUGUGAAACCAUUUUGAUAGCCAACAUUUGGUAUCAAAGCCUGCAUAGUCUAGAACUUAAACUGUUGCAUUUGGCCUGUCUUUCCAAAUUUUUAUCCGUUGAAAUUUGACUUUGAACACAUAUUCAGAUUCUUCCUGGCAAGCUGAGUGUUUCGGUGGGUGGCAUGCCUCUAGUGGAGGCCAAAUGUGCUACCCAUGAGCAUCUCAAAUUUGAGAUUGUUUCAAAUUAUUUUUCACGUCUUCAUGAAUUUUUCUGAGUAAAAGUGAAUUUUGAUCAUAUAUUUAGACUUCUCUCGUCGAGAUGAAGAUUUUGGUGGAUGGUACGCCUUCGGCAGAGGCCGAACACCACCUCAUGUGCCCGCAUGAGCCAAGGAGGCAUUGGAAACCACUCUCACAUGUGCAGUGUGUGAAGUGCCUUAGGCACGGAUGACAUCAUGCAUGAUGUCAUUCGCAAACACAUGUUACCAACAUUGGACGUGUGUCGCUAAUGACGUAAUGAUGAUGUCACGUGUCAUUGCCUUACCUGCACUUGACUCGUGUCAUGUGAUGUCAUUGAUGAUGUUACCUUAUCAACUCGACCUAAUUUGUUAAUCUUGUGACCUGACCUAAGUUGAUUGGGUCGACCUGACUCGAGUUGACCAAUUGACCAAACCAGUCAAUCGAUCAUACAAGUUGUUGACUGUUAAUCAGUUAGAUUGGUCAAUACCGAUUGAACUGGUUUUCUAACCGGCUCAUGCUUGCCAGCACAUGUAGUUCACACACCGCGAACUCCAGCGGUGCAUAAGGGUGUGUGUAAGUUUUGUUCAAGGCGUGCUUGAUGCCGGUGUGUUCAUAUGGAAUUCUCUAUACUAUGAUGUAUUUAUUUUGCAUAUUUGAUACUUUUAAGGAUAUCAAAAUACAUGUGGAACCCUAAAUAUGUGUAUCUUGAGGUAUUUUUUUUGAGUAAUUUUCAUGUGUUUCUCUAUAGCUUCGGCAAUACAGUUGCAAACUCAUGUGUGUGUAUCAUCACAUAAAGAAUGUGUAGAGCAUUGAUUCAUUAAUGACAUGUAUAAAGUUCAACAUGUAUUAACGAAUGGAGCAAUAUAAUUGACAUGACAUAUGAUUUCAAUGACAAAUAGCCCAUGCCAUCAAGUCUAAAAUCACAUGUAUAAGGCAAAUACAAGACAUAAAGUUUAUAUUCCUGAUAUGAAAGAAUUUAAUGAUUCAAUUGAAUUGUGACCGCCAAAGUAGCAAACUUGAUUGGAUUUAAGACAUAUCGGUUUCAUAUUAUGAUAGGAUGUCUCCUAUUUUAAUGUGUGGUCAUAUUCCUAAAAGAAGUGAUUGUGUAUUAGUUCAUGUAGAGGCACAUGUAUUGCAUAUAGUUGAGGAAUGAUUAACCUUAGUGGUUCAUAUAUCCAAAGGUAGUGAAUUCACAAAAAGGUUGCAAUUCAUUCUCUUUACCACUAUCAUGUAGAGAGUAUACAAUUGCAUGUCAUAUAUUCUACCUAAAGGUGUUUACAUGAUGAUGUAUAUAGCUCUCAGGAUGUAUACUUAAAUAGUUUUCAAGUUACAUAAUACUCACAUAAUGCUAAUUAUAUACAUUACUUAUCAAAUCAAUUACAUUUUAUAUAAAUGGCAAUCCAUUGUGAUUAAGGUUCUUACUGGUUCAAACUUUAAGAAAUUAAAAGAGGAUUUUCUAUUUGUGAUGGAGCUGGCAGAUAUUCAUAUUGCUCUUACUAAGGAUAAGCCGGUGGAUGUUACAAACACUAGUAUAGAAGCCCAUAAAGCAUGCUUUGCCACUUGGGAAAAGAGUAACAUGAUUUGCUUGCUCAUCAUGAAACGAUUCAUUCAAGAACAUUUGAUGAGUGGCUUACCAGCUGAUUGCACUGCUAAACAAAUUAUAGAAGCCUUGAGGCUAGGUAUCGUGUUUCAUCCAAUGCUAAGAUUGGUACCCUUAUGCAAACAUUCUUCAAUAUGAGGUAUGAUGGUUUAGAUAUGAUAGGAGAUUAUGUGCUUAGGAUGAUAGACCUACAGACAAAACUCCGAGUUCUUCAUGUUGAUAUUUCUGAUAUUGGCAUUGUGCAUCAAGUAUUAAAUACUCUUUCUCUUGAUUUUGGAAUUAUCAAGACCAAUUAUAACUCGUAAGAUAAGACUUGGUCAAUUAAUGACCUGAUAGUUAGAGUGAUGGCAUAGGGAGAGAAACUGAAGAAAAAAAAAUUACAUCUUAUCUUGUAUGUCUCUAGUUUUGCCAACAUGAAGGGUAAAGGGAUUAUACGUCAAAAUUAUAAAGGAAAUCCUAAAGCCGUAGGCCCCUCUAAUAAUAUAACUCCGAAAAAGGAAAUCAUAAAGCUGCCGGUCCUUUAAAAAAUAUGGGUCCUAGAAAAAACACCAUUUAAGAGGGAGGGUGUUUGUUGCUACUUUUACAGGAAAAUAUGACAUAAAGAAAUACUGUGAUAAAUAUAAAGCUUGGUUGUUCAAAAAUGAGCCUAAAGGUAAUGAUUCUUUGGCAUUUAUCUAUGAAUUCAACCUAUCUAAAGCCCUGUUCAAUUCUUGAUGGCUAGAUAGUGGUACAACUAAUCAUGUUACAUUUACCACGCAUGAAUUCAUAAACAAAAGGAUGCCUAAUCAAGAUAAAUCAAAACUCAUUUUGAGAAACAAUGAUAAAAUCGAUGUUGAGUUCAUGGGAGAUUUGAUUUUAGAUUGUGGUUUCAAUCUAACAUCAAGAAAGACCUUUUAUAUAUCUUCCUUUAGAUGGAACUUAGUAUAUGUAUCAUGUUUGAACAUGUGCGACUACUCUUUGAAAUAAAAAAACAAUAUUCUAUCUAUGUUAUUUAAUUCAAUAAGGUUGAGUGUUGCAAUACGUUUAAUGGAUUGUAGAGAUUGUGUUUAUCCCCCGAUGAUAUAUAUGUCGCUUAUACAGUUGAAAGUAUUGUUUCCAAAAGACCUCUACCUAAGGAAUAAUCUUAUGUAUUAUAGCAUAAACAACUUUGUCACAUCUCUAAAGAAAGAGUGGAAAAGCUAGUAAAAGUGAUCUAGAGACUUGCGUAGAUUGUUAUAGAGGAAAGAUGACUAAGAUAAAAAAGAAAACCGCAAUCUGAAGUUCUGACUUAUUAGAGAUUAUCCACAUUAAUAUUAGUGGACCUUGUACUGCAACUUUGUAUAAUUUUUUUUAUUUUAUAGUAUUUAUUGAUGACUACUUUUGAAAGGUUGUCAGAAAGGUGUGGCCGAAAGACGUAAUCGUACUCUAAUGUAUAUGGUGAGGUGUAUGAUGAGUAAGACCAAUUUGCUUAGCUUCUUAUGGGAUGAGGCUUCAAAAAAAGUCUUUUCCAUCUUGAAUUGUGUUCCCACCAAGGCUAUUCCAUUGACUCAUUUUGAAUUAUGAACUAGAUGCAAACCUAGUUUAAACAAUCUCAAGAUUUGGGGAUGUCCUGUAGAAGUAAGGUUGUACAAUCCAACAUUAGGUAAGUUGGACUCUAAAAUCAUGAUGCUACUUUGUGUCUUACUUAGAUUACUCAAAGGGUAUCGGUAAUACAAUACAAUGGGGGCACAAGAAUUGAAAAAGCACAAACAAUGAAGUUUUUGGAAUUCGAUGUGGCCGAAGAGGGUAGCUGCUCACAAAUUAUUGAGGAUAACAAUAUGACCAAGUCAAUUAUGUCUUUUUCCUACCUAUGCAAAUAAUUAUCGGAGUCUACUAUACCACAAACUAAAUCUAUCGAGACUCAGGAUCCUAUUGUUGAGAUGGCCCUUGAUGAAGUUCUUUAAGCUCCUCAGAUUUAGAAUGAGGUUGCAGUAGCUCCACUUAAGAGAUCUACUGGGAAAAGGCGUUCAACUAUACCAUUGGAUUAUAUAGUUUAUUUAGGAGAGAAUGAGUACGAUAUCAACUGCGUUAUAGAUCGGGUGACUUAUAUAGACCCCUAUUUCUUGUCCUCGAUCAGAUUUAUGGUUGGAUGCAAUAAAAAACGAAAUGCAAUCUAUGAAACAUAGUAGUGUUUGGGGGCUUGUUAAAUUGUCGAAAGAUUGCAAACCCAUAGAUUGCAAAUGGGUUUAUGAGACUAAAAUGGAUUCUAAAGGAAAUAUUGAGAAAUUUAAAGUUAGACUAGUGGGGUUAAGGGCUUUACUCAAAGAUAGGGAAUAGACUAUGAAGCAACUUUUGAGGUUGGGACACUUGGAGUGCCAUAACUUGGCACGGAGGAACACUUAAGUGCCAUAACUUUAAAAUGGUACACUUGAGUGCCAAUAUCGGAGUGGAGACCUUGAUAAGGAAGUCUAUAUAGUACAACCUAAAGGUUUUACACCAAAUAAUUCAGGUACGCUUCUAAGUAAAUUGAAGAAGGCUAUUUAUGGUCUCAAACAAACUUCUAGACAAUGGUACUUGAAGUUUCACAAUGUCAUCACUUCUUUUGGUUUUGUUAAGAACAAAGUAGAUCAAUACAUAUACCGCAAGGUUAGUUGGAGGAAAUUUAUUUUCUCAUACUUUAUGUGGACGACAUUUUGCUUACAAGUAGCGAUAUUGGAUUAUUGUAUGAGACAAAGCAAAUUUUAUCGAAGAAUUUUGACAUGAAAGACCUUAGUGAGGUGUCGUUCUUUCUUGGCAUAAAAAUUCAUAAGGAUUGUUCUCGCCGUAUGUUAGGUUUAUCUCAAAAGUUAUAUGUUGAUCGUAUUUGGAAAAAUUCAUUAUGCAACAUUACAAGCCAUAAACUGCUCCUAUCAUUAAUGGUGAUAUAUUAAAUCUCUCACAAUGUCCCCAAUCAAAUUUUGAGAAAAUUCAAAUGAAAGAUAUGCCUUAUGCUAGUACGCUUAGAAGUAUCAUGAAUGCUUAAGUUUGCACAAGACCAAAUAUCGUUUUUGUGACAGGACUUCUAGAUAGAUAUCAGUCAAAUCCAAAACACGAUCACUGUAUUGUUACCAAGAAAGUUGAGGUACUUAAAAAGAACAAAAGCCUAUAUGUUGAUUUACUGAUAUGUUCAUGAUCUACAUCUUGUAGCAUAUUUGGAGGCAAACUUUGCUAGCUGUCAGGAUAAUAAGAAGUCGACAACAAAAUGUAUCUUUAUAUUAGCAGGAGGUGUAAUAUUAUGAAAAAGUGAAAAACAAAAAUCUAUAUCAUCCUCUAUCAUACAAGCGGAGUUUAUAGCAUGCUUUUCAAUCUCUACUCAAGCUAUUUGGCUCAUGAAUCUCAUUAAGGAAUUGACCGUAUUUAACUUUGUGGAUAGAUUUAUACAAUUAUAUUGCAAUAAUAACUCUGCAGUGUUAUUUAUCAACAAUAACAGAAGUCUCAAGGGGUCUAAGUAUAUGAAGGUUAAGUUUUUCACCAUAAAGGAAAUGGUGUAGAAUAGUGACAUUACAGUCGAGCAUAUUCCCACAAAUGAUAUGAUUGCAAAUCCACUGACGAAAGGCCUUCGCCCUUGUGUAUUUGAGCGACAUAUCAUGAACAUGGGCUUGGGAGAAUCAUUAGAUGUUGUCGUUUAGUGGGAGUUGCUUCAAAUUUGCUCUAAUAAAGUUUACAUUUGUGUUUUAUUACAUUUGAUAACAUUUUGAUAUAUAUUGACUCAUUUUGUAUGGACUAUUAUUGAGUUGUAUACAUACAUUUGAUCAAAAUCUAAGGAUAUCAUGUAAAUCUUGAGGAAAGGCCAAAAGCAUCCAGUUAUUAGCCUUGUACAUUGGUCUCAAUUACACAUAAAGAAAUGUUAACCAUAAAAAUAAGACAUGUGUGAGUUCAUUACAACCAUAAAGAUAUUCUCUAGUAGCGUAUCCAAUUUUUGUAACGCUUAAAGUGAGAGAAUAUUAAUCGAUGAAGAGGAAAUGGUACUACUCUUUAUGAGGUGUUAUCCAUUUGUCACACAAUCAUAUUGAAUCCAUACCGGUAAAAUUAAAAGCACUUGUGAUCAUAGAAGGCUCUAUGUAUGUACAUUUAGUUGACGCUAUGAUCUAGUGUUCAAGAUUUUAUAUGAUCGGAUUGACUGUUGAAAAUUAUCUUGUAAAAGUGCGCACAUACACUACAAUCUCAAUUAAUAUAGUCCAAGUGGGAGAAUGUAAGAGUUUUUUUUAGGUGAACCAUAUUAAUUGAGAUUAUGAUUUACCAUUUUGUGGAGUUGGUCUAAUAAGGUAAGAUAUAAAGUUUUUUAACAGUCGAAUAUGGACUUGACUUGUGUAGACCAAGCUAGGCUCGACCCAUGAUGAGAGAACCUAGCCAAAACUCUAUAAAUAGGCUAAUGUCCCUCCUCUAACCCUCAAUUGUCAUUUUCAAAUACAUAGACCCAUACACCUCAUAUAAGGAACGUUCGUGAGGGGCAAUCCCAUCGAACCAGGGUCCAAAGGGUGAUAGAGGAGAAGAUCUUAAGCAUCAAAGGAUUGGAUUAUCAUUGCUCUAUUUCAAGAAUAAUGGAUUGCAAAUCAGGUACGCGAAUCUCUUUCUUCUCCUUCAAUAUGUUCGAGUUUCUAGCUAUGUCGAUCUUGGAAAGCCAUUUCGAUGGCCAACAACUUUAUGUAUUAAUCUCAUAUAAUAUUCAACUUUAACACCCAUUUCACGUGCAAAAUAUUUUAAAGCCGUAUAAAGAACACACGAGGACUUGAAGAACGAUGAGUCAUACGUGUGAAAUAAACCUGACUUUGUCUUGUAUGCUAAGUCAUUAGAACAUUCGACCAAAAAGUUUUAGCUAUUAAUUAAAGCAAGUUCCACAUAUUUAUACAACGCCCAUUAUAGAUCCUUAUUCAAGCAACCAAAUAAUACUUUAACAAGGUUAAAUGCCCAAUAUUUCACGGGGUCAAAUUGGUUAAGUAAGAAGAUAUUAUCAUAUAUUAAAUUAACAAGAACAUCAGGCCACUCGAGAUAAUUGCCUCCUCUAGCAUAACAUAUAAUCGCUUCCUUUUCUAAUCGUGUCGGUACCGAUAUUCCUUUUUUCUUUUUAAUUGAAACAUAGAGUAUAACUUCCUCACCUUUUUUCCAUUUUUAGGACUUCGCAUCCUUUAUUUUUAGAAAUACGUCUUUGCAUCUUGGACAGAACACCGUCACUUGAAAAGAUCAAACUAUCAUCCCUAUCGAUAAGUCACCAAUUCCCCUCAAACCAGAGGCGUACGCGAGAGAAAGAGAGAGAGAGAGAGAGAGAGAGAGGACUUACGGAGCGACGGUUGGCCAUGACGCGGAGAUGAGCAGGGUAGGGACAGUCGUGGCUAAUGCUGGUUAGGGUUUUGGGAAGUGGGUCUUAAGGUUUCUAGCUGGGUGGAUUGGCAUGAAAAGGGAUAACAGGAUGCGGGAUGGGUGGAUCGUAUAUAUGGAAGUGGGAUAUGGAAGUGGGAGUGUUAAAAGAUGUACGUAUGAAAAGAGAUUUUAAAGAGUUGUGGUGGCGAAAACUCAUGAUAGACCUCGGUGCAAGGGCCUGGUUACUCAGUCCUCGCAUUCCAGACACUGCGGCCAAGCUUGAGACCUCUGUGUCCAUCCCCAAAUCUCUAGUGGUUAGGCCUACGAUCCUGACUCUAGCAUCGAGAAGCCAGCGGCCAAGCUUGGAUCUGGUUGCUUGGGGUUGGGACCACAACAGUUGGGUUCAGGUCCCUAAGGGCUGAGCCUAGGAUCUUGAAGCCUGUGCCCGGAUCCCUAACAGUCGGGCCUAAGUCUCCAAGAGCCCAAAUUUAGGGCUUGAGGUUGCAAUCCAAAUUUUUUUUUUCAAACGUCUAUUUCAUAAUUUACUUAUAAUACAAGAAAUUGACCUUCAAAAUACAACGAAACAAUUAUAAAAUGAAUCAUUUUUUUUUCCUGAAAAUAAGUUCCUUAGCAAAUACUUUUCGGCAAAAUUCAUCUGAAACAGAGCCUAAAUAUUCUUCAUGCAAAUGCCCAUUUUAAUAUUGUACCAAAUGAGGAAAAUACUUCCGAUAUGGAGGGGCGAUUGUACGUAAAAUUGGAGCAACAUAAAGUGAAGAAUAAGAUAACUUUUGUCUCGUUUUUCCAAAAGAAAGAAUAUAUUCAAUCACUGAUUUGACAUUGCAUUUGAUCUGCUUAUUGCGUUUAUGUCAUGCAAAGGCAUCGUAAUAGCUGCGGAAUUUCAACGGGAUACCAAUCCAAAGGUGACAGCCGUCAUCUAUGCACUACGUAAUUAUGGAUCUUCAGCCGCAGCCUUCCCUUUUCUUUUUUCCAAUUUUUAAUGUCAACGUCUAGCGAAAAAAGGAUCGUGACAGCUUGUAUACCUCAUUUAGUUUUUAACCAACCCCAAUAAGAUAGUAAUGAUUAUCAUUUAAAAUUUUCAUAAGGUUAAUUGAAACUAAAAUCGAAUAAUAUCCCAACAUCAAGGUAAAAGUUUGGGAAAAUCCGAGCCGAUUAAGGAGCAUUGAUCUCAACUCAGCAUUAACUCUACACAUGUCAUUUUCCAAGACAAAAAUGAGGAUCGCGAGACAAUGUAUGUCCACAUUAGUUUUUUUAUCAUUAAAAAGGCAAAUUAACGCUACAAGAAAGAAAAAUGAUCAAAUCACAUCCUACAUUUUUUCUCUUAUAUGGACCUUUUUAAUCUAUCAUCAUUAAUGAAACUUUCUAAUUUUGUAUGUCGGAUGAUAAAGAUCACUCUGCAGCAUGCCGUUCGAAAGGGUUUAAGUUGUUGAAGUUCACUUUCGUAGACACAUCAUCAUACGGUCCAUAUCAUAAUGGAGACCAUUAAUGAAAAUCAGCAAGAUAAUAAGACAUUCCAUAUCAUAAUGAAGACCCUUAAUCAAAAUCAGCAAGAUUAUCCGACAUUCUCUUCAUUGAUUUUCUCUAAUCUUCUCCUUACAGUGUCCACUAAAAGCCGCACAUGCAAGGGUCUCACACAUCGAUAAUUAGAUAUUGAAAUGUUUAGCUAUAACUGUUAAGUUUAUUUUCCCAGCAAUAAGCAAACUUUUAUUUUUUGGCAGCAAGUCACCAGCUUCUCUCGCUAGAGCCACAAAGCUCCGGCGUCCUUGAGCAUCUUCUUCAGUGAGCCAUUGAGCUGAAGCGUCAUGACGGCAUUGGCAGACCCGACGAACUUCCCUCCAAUGAAGACCGCAGGGACCGCAGGGUUGCACCCAAGCCUGAUCAGCGCCCGCUCCAUCUCCCUGCCGCGCGGGUCCUCAUCAAGCUCGUGGAUCGCAGGGCUCACACCCUGAUCAUAGAACAGCCUCUUGAUUGCAUGGCACAUGCAGCACGAGCUCUUGCUGAAUAUCACCACGGCCUUCUGCGAUGCUAGCCUCGCCACCUUAUCCAUGUCUCCAACCAGAUGGUAUCUCCGGUUAGUCUUGGUUGAGCUAGUUUUAUCUAGCUAGGAUCUCACAAAGAUAGAGAGGGGGCGGGGGUCGUUUCGGGGUAGAUCUUCUCUCGAAUGUAAUAAAAAAGUGAAGAAAAAUGGCGAGUGCUCUAUAAACAAGAUCCGCUAGGGUUUGGGACCUCUCUUUUUUACUUGUGGAGGGUUGAUGUUGUGCAAUUGCCUUGUGAUGUAAUAAUAUGGACGUGUCAUGGACCUUUAUAUAUAACGAAGGAGGAGAGCAUCUUUAGAUAUUGGUUUGUUAUUGAAUAUAAAAAGCGAAGUGGAGAACAAAAGGGGAGGAGAGGAGAGAAGAGAAGAGGAGAGAAGAAGAAGGUGAUGGUGAUGAAAAAAGGCGAAGGUUCUUUUGAGAUAUUUGAUGCGAUUCCGCGAAACACCCCUCGAUGUGAUGGCGACAUUUAUUCCGGAUUGUUCAUGGAAUUGACGAUAAUCCGUGGGACGCCAGAGGCACGACAAGUUGCCGAAAGCGGGUUUUAAUUCAAUAGGGGUUUAAAAUGUGUGAAUAUGAGCAUAGUACGGAAUUGCAUUGAAAGAGAAUGUUUUUCUUGAUAGCGCAGAAGGGAAGGCUUGUCAUGGAUUUGGGAAUGUCAACUUCGGAUAAGGCUCGGAGCAAAAGGGGCGGGGCCUCGUCCAGAUGUUGUGAACUUUGCUUCGACAAGUAAGAAAAUGACCCUUCACUUCCCUCGUCGAGAAACUUAGCUUUCGAGAUAAAUCUCAACCGUGCAUUUGAAAGAGUGCGCUACAAUACUUUUAUCUAGGAACUUAUACUUGGGUACCUUGCGUUACGACCAAGAGAAAUCUUUCCAGAGGGAUUGUAAAAACCUCUAGAAGAUAACUUCUAGGGAAAAAUCUUCUAUUUUAUCCUUCAAUUUUUACGUCUGGAUUGAAGUCCCUUUCUUUCAAGAUUGGAAUUUUUACUUAUACAUCACUUUGCAUCUGCUUUCGGAAAAAAAAAAAUAGGUCAUUCCUCAGCUCACCACUCAUGAUAAACCCUUGGACCACUCAUAGUUUUUGAGUGCGCAUGUGAUUUGUAUUAGAAACGCUGCGAUCGGAGAUUAAUUUGGUUUAGAGAAAUUAGUGUAUCUUAAUUGUUUUAUAAAUUUCUGAAUUUAACUUUUGAGCAAUGGUAGGUUAAACUCGAUAUGUUGAUGAGCUUGAACUAAAGUUCUCCUAUUCUCAAUUCCCUAGGAUUUUGGUAAUUAGCUUCUGCUGCUUGUCGCAAUAAACAAUGGCAAUGGCGAUUAUUUUUUGGCAGACCUUAGGAUGGAGAUGGGGCAAGGAAGGGAUGGAAAUCAGUUGCCCCUCCACCAUCCUAUGCCUCCUGCGAGGGUCAAUUUUUCGGUCAUGAGGCACCGCAUUAUAUCUGAUGAAAACUAUUUGUCAUUUUUUUUUAUUAGAGCAGCACUAUUUCUAUCCUCUCUAUGUAACUAAUUCCAUUCAAUUUUCACCAAAAGAUAAAAUCUCCCUAAAUCAUUCAAUUAUAAUUUAAAGUGGUAGUCCUUAAUUUAUUUACUCUUUUUUUUUUUAACUUUUCUAUCUCUAUGUAGAAUCUAGUGGUCAUAAUAAAGAAUAUCACAUGUUUUAGUUUUGUUUACUAUAGGCACUAUGUUUUCUUCUAAUGUUGUUAGAGUUUACUUUCAUAAGAAUUAGUUUAGUUGAAAAGAAGAAUUUUUAAAUUUCUAAUUUUUUCCAUGUUGUUGAGCAAAUUUAUAGAUCGACUAUCAUGUGGAAUCUAGAAAAAUUUUGACAUAUACUUUUUUAUAACACAACAUUUGUUUAUAAAUUUCACUUUUGUUGUUUAUAUCUCUGUCAAACAUUUUCUUAUCAGUUGUCUUUUACACACGUGUACAUAUAAUGGGAUGAUUAAAUUAAAUCAAAACGUUGCUCAUAAUAAGAAAAUUUUCAAAAUUGCCCGUGAAAAUCUCAUCAUUUUGGAUAAACAGAAAUUAAUAAUAUCCAUGAAAUUUUUACAAAAAAAUAAUAAGAUGCUUCGUUAUGCAUAAUUUUGUCACUUCGAUUUUUUUAGUGGAUUCCUUGAUACUCAUAUAACAUCCUAAUUGCUCUGUGUAAAAAUAUUUCGACAUUAGUAACGAAAAAAGACAAACUCUUUGGUGUAGUAAAUUGUAACGAUCCCAAUUCCAUCUCCAGUGUCACGAGCGACAAGGGUUUUUUCGCAACAUCCCAGGCAUGUCGCCGUUCCAUUCCUUUUUAUCUUUUCAUUAAGCACAUGCGGAAGCGUUACAAACGACACCCAGACAAUAAUAAACAGCCAAGAGAACAACCACUUGCAAAUACACAAUUACAUCAGUUAUAUUUACAGGCUUUUGGUCAUGGGCUGUUAUAUUUAUAACCACUACAUUUUCUACGCUCCAAAAGCUGGGUAAACCUUAGCUUCUCUAAUGAGAUUGCAACUUCAGCAUUAGCGUGAGUCCUCCAUACUUACAAUUCUAAAAAAUAACGGGGUGAGUAAUGGACUUAGUAAGCAAAACUUACUAAUCUUCAGCAUUAGCGUGAGUCCUCCAUACUUACAAUUCUAAAAAAUAACGGGGUGAGUAAUGGACUUAGUAAGCAAAACUUACUAAUUUUCGAGUAGGAGGAUGCCUUACGUAUCAACAAGCAUAUAACUCAUCCAAGACAUUAGUUGAUGGCAAAUCAAUAGUAAAACAAAAUAUUUGUCUUGGAUGAAACAUGAGAAAUCCUCAAUCUACAAUAUGUAAACAUAAACCAAGAUUCACCCACAACAUGAGGAACUCAUGCCUCACUCAACAUUAUGCAAGCAUAACCAAAAUUCAUUACUUAAUAUGAGGAACUCAUACACACAAGAUUCAUUUAUUAAUAGUUGAAAUCCAUCGACUCUUCUGGAAUCCACCAGGCAUCCGAAUUUAAUCGGGCAAUGUCCCCUAAUUGAAGGGUGAUGGCUAGAAUUAUCACAACAUCCCGUUCUUCUGACGAGGCAUUCGGUUGGCAUGGGGGCAUCAUGUUGGUGUGGGGGCAUCAUUGCUAAAAUCCAUCGAUCAACAGCAUAAAUUAGUCCCUCGUGUGUCCAUGCAUCAAGUAUCACAAUCCGGUUCUUAUCUUCACUUUUAGUUCAAAUGCCUAAAGGCGUGCCAUGCAUAAGUGUGUGAAAUAACUUAUCAGAACUGAGACAUUGAACAUGCCAAGUGUGAAUCAAGGAUCGCAACUUGAUUCAACAAGCUUGAGCACUGAUCUAGUAUCUAACUUGGCUCGAGAACAAUGCACCUUAAUAUCACAUCGAGACCAUGAUAGGACCAGUUUGUUGUGACAUGUUCACUGUCAUAGUGCCAAACUUGGCUCGGGAACGAUACUCUUUUGUAUUGCAUUGAGACCAAGAAAAAACCGGCUCGUUGUGACACAAUCACCAACCUAGUACCAAACAUGGCUUGGGAACAAUACGCCUCAAUAUUGCACCGAGACCAAUAAAUGACCAAUCUGACAUGUCCCCACAUAAAUUCAAGGUCGGUAAAACCCCUUUUUGAAGCUCGGGGCAUGAACUGGAGCAUACACUUGUGAAAAUGGUUAAAAAUAGUUUUGUAAGGAAAUAGCAAGCCUUCACAACAACACUUUUAAAAUAAGUUUGUAUUAAAGCAAAAACAAAGCAUAUCAAUUAAAAACACAAUCCGGCUUCUUCCAAAGUAGAUCAAGCCAAAGCAUGAGCCAAAGCUCAUCGAACAAGAAUCAAACUCAAUCAAAGAAUAAGGACUAAACUUAUCCAAGCAAACACAACCGAACCUCAAGUAAAAACACAAUCACAACAUUUCAAUAAAGGACUUGCUACACACUUGGAUUAACAUAAUACAAAAUCCCAACCAUAUAUUAGUAAGUUCUACUUACGCUUUUUAAGUAGGUGGCCUUGAAUUGGUGAUGAUGACAAGCAUAGCGACAAGGGCAGCAACAAGAAUUCCUAAGGAAGAGGGGCUAAACUUUGAUAAGAAGAGAGGGAGAGAAGGUGAUGUGUUGUGGGAAUGAGAGAGGGAUGCCCCCCUAUUUAUAGACAAUCCUAACUUGUUUUCUAAGCCUUAAAAGUCAAGGCUUCCUAUCUAAGUCAAGAAGCAUUAAAUGCAAGGUGACUUGAUCACCAAGUCUCAAGGUAGGGUAGAACUUUAGCUUGGGACACCUCAACAUGGCAUUUAAGGACUAAACACCACACUUGGGUGCGUGACUCUCUUGUCCUAGGGUGGAAAAUAGUUUUGAGUAGUUUCUGAAAUCAAUGUCUUUACCUUAUCAAACGGAUUCAAAAAAUUAUGAAAUUUUAAUAUGUUAUACAGAAAAUCUCAAAAAACAGUUUUCAUAAAGGAAGUCAAGUCAAAUUCGUAUUGAGGAAAGAGCACCAAAUCACUAAACAUAACCCAACAAUCUACCCAUCAAGCAAAUCCAACGUCUGCAAAGAAGGACCCAUUUAGAAAUCCAAGUUUUUACAAAAAUCUUUAACAUUUUUUUAUGUUGUAGAUAUAGAUGUCCUUUAAAACUUUCAUGAAGAAAGCAUGUCUAAAUUUGAAAGAGAAGAUUUUAUAAAAAUUUGAAAAAGCAACUUGAUCACCAUUUUCACUACACAGGACAAGUUCCAGAUUGUAAAUAAUUGGGCCUUCGUCCCGACCAUUUGACUUCAGACUAAUUUGAAAUUUAAGUAUGUUGUAUAUUAAGAUGUUUUGAACAACUUUCAUAGUUUCUUUAAAUUUGAAACUCAAAAAGUUGUGUAAAAUUGGCAAAUAGUGGAGGUCCAAUAAUUUCGAAAAUCAAAUGUGGCAAUGUUAAUUGGAAGGAGGCAUCACAACUAGUCAAGAAAUAUUAAUUGUUGGGUAUCAUUAUCUUUCAAGUUUCCAAUUAAAUCCUAGGUUAGCUUGGAUACUUCAUCUUGGCAUUGAAUAACUAGAAAGCCAAAUAUAUUUAAUGCACUCUUAUCUUGUCCAAGAAGGCUUAACUUACUUGGGGAUAAGUACACUAAUGGUGCCAUAAGUUGUGUACGGCGCUCACUUUGGUGCCAAAAGUUUCCGUCGGAUCACUUAAGUGCCAAAUCGGAGGAAAAACGAUCACUUUGGUGCCACCAGUGAAAAUUAGUCCCUCGUGCGGGGGCAUCCCGUUGGCAUGGAAGUAUUUUGUUCUUAUUAACGAGGCAUCCCAUUGAUGUGGGGGCAUUGUCGCCAAAAUCCAUCGAUCAACGGCAUAAAUUAGUCCCUCGUGUGUCAUGCAUCAAGCAUCACAAUCUGGUUCUUAUCUUCACUUUUAGUUCAAGGCCCAAAGGCAUGCCAUGCAUAAGUGUGUGAAAUGACUUAUUGGAAUUGAAACAUUGAACAUAUUGGGCACAAAUCAAAGAUCACGACUUGAUUCGACACGUUUGAGCACCGAUCUAAUAUCAACUUGGCUCAAAAACGAUUCACCUCAAUACCGCAUUAAGACCAUGACAGGACCGACCCAUUGUGACAUGUUCACUAACCUAGUUCCAAACUUGGCUUAGGAAUGAUACGCCUCAAUAUUGCACCGAGAACAAGAAAAGACCAGCCCAUAGUGACAUGAUCGCUGACUUAGUAUCAAACAUAGCUCGGGAACAAUACGCCUCAGUAUUGCACCAAGACCAAGAAAGGACCAAUCUGACAUGAUCCCACGCACGUCCAAGAUCGACGAAACUCCUUAUCAGAGCUCGAGGCAUGAACUAGAGCAUACACUUUGAAAACGGUUGGAAAUAGUUUUAUAAGGAAAUUACCAAGUCUUCACAAAAGCACUUUUCAAAUCAGUUUGUAUCAAAACGAAAAUCAAAGCAUAUCAAAUAAACACAUAAUCCGACUUCUUCCAAAGCAGCUCAAGCCAAAGCACGAGCCAAAGCUCAUUGAACAAGAAUCGAACUCAAUCAAAGAACAAGGUCUAAACCUAUCCAAGCAAACACAACCAAACCUCAAGUAAGAACACAGUCAUAACAUUUCAAUCAAUGACUAGCUACAUACUUGAAUUAGUGUAACACAACACCCUAACCAAAAAGUAGUAAGUUCUACUUAUGGUUUCUAAGUCGAUGGCCUUGAAUUGGUGAUAAUGGCAAGCAUGUCCGCAAGGGCAACAACAAGAAUUCCUAGGGAAGACGGGCCAAACUUUGAUAAGAAGACAGGGGGAGAAGGUGGUGUGUUGUGGGAAUAAGGGAGGGAUGCCCCCCUUAUUUAUACGCAAUCCUAACUUAUUCUCCAAGCCUUAAAAAUCAAGGCUUCCUCUCUAAACCAAGAAGUAUUAAAUGCAAGGUGACUUGGUCACCAAGUCUCAAGGGAGGGCAGGACUUUAACUUGGUCGUUUGGGACUCCUCCACAUAGCAUUUAAGAACUAAACUCCAAGCAUGGGCAUGUGACUCUCUUGUCUUAGAGUGGAAAAUAGUUUUGAGCAGUUUCCGAAUCAAUGUCUUUAUCUUAUCAAACGGACUCAAAAAAUUAUGAAAUUUUAAUAUUUUAUAGAGAAAAUCUCAAAAAAAUUUUUGAAGGCAAGUCAAAUCCAUGCUGUGAAAAGAGCACUAAACCACUAAACAUAACCCAAUAAUCUGCCCAUCAAGCAUGUCCAACGUUUGCAAAGAAUGACUUAUUUAGAAAUCCAAAUCUUUACAAAACUCUUUAAAAAUUUUAUAUGUUGUGGAUAUGGACUCCUUUAAAAAUUUCUUGAAGAAAGCAUGUCUAAAUUCAAAAGAGAAAAUUUUAUAAAAAUUCGAAAAAGCAACCUAGUGAUCAUUUUCACUACACGAGACAAGUUCUAGACGGUAAAUGAUUGGGCAUUCGUCCCAGUCAUUUGACUUUAGAAAAAUAUAAAAUUUUAGUAUAUUGUAGAUCAAGAUCUUUUAAAUAACUUUCAUAAAGGAAGUUUCUUCAAAUUCAAAGCACAAGAAGCUGUGUAAAAUUGGCAAAUAGCGGAGGUCUAGUAAUUUUGAAAAUCAAAUGUGUCAAUCUUAGUUAGAAAGAGGCGUCCUACCUGGCCAAGAAGUAUUAAUUGUUGGGUAUUCUUAUCUUCCAAGUUUCCAAUAAAUCCUAGGUUAGCUUGAACACUUCAUCUUAGUAUUAAAUAACUAAAAGCAAAAUGUAUUUAAUGCACUCUGAUCUUGUCCAAGAUGGCUUGACUUGCUUGCUUCUUCUUCCAAUGGGUGUGUAGUCCUUUUCUUGGCCUCCAAGAUCUUCUACUUAGUUUAGUGUUAUGGCUAGGCUAGGCUAUAGGGACACAUAUUUCUUAGUAGCCCACACUUCAUUGAAUAUAUUCGCAUUGUUCAUAUUUGUUCGCACUUAGUUUCUAAGACCUAAGUGUGAACCCUAAGUGUGAACCCUCCUAAUUAGGCCAAGGUGUCCCCCUCAUUAAUGAGACAAAGUCCAAGUUUCAAACUUGUUUUCCAAAGCAAGGGCCUAUUAUGUCAAGUGUCCACCCUCAGUCAACAUACAUUUAAUAACUACGUGACAAAGACGUUAAAUGAGACUUGGAAAAUACCUAAGAUUUGAAAGCCUUAUCAUUGGACAGGGAUUAAUCGAUUUUGACUGUGAUCAACAACCUUAUUUGGCCUGAGAUUCAUGCAUAAGCUAUGUCCAAACAAAGUCAAACACAACCUAGUUUGAUUGGCCAAACCGAGUUCCAGCUCCCCUUUAUCGAGAAAAAUGGUCACAACUAGGUUUGCUGGCUAGGUUCUAGCCUAGUUGGUCGAUUCUCUAACCAGUUCAUGGGCUAGCCCAUGGGUCAAUACUACUUGGUCAGUCUUGUGGUCAGUCCUUGGGCUAGUCAACCAGUCCUGUAGCCAGUUCUAUGACUAGUCCAAGGUUUUACACCAUAAGUCUUGGUCAGUCCAAAAUUGAACCAUGGUCGUCUUGGAUCAACUCAAGGUCGUUCGCACCCUAUACAAUGACUAGGCGGAAUCACCCGCUACUGGUGCAUUGACCAGGCAAAAUCAAGCUAUGACCGUCCGCCAAUCCAUGAUGCCACACGAUCAUCCCACAAUCGAUCCUUAUAGUCAAAUAAUCGUUCCAUGGUCAGAUACCCUAUAACCAGACCUUGGGUUGUUGAUCCCUGAAUGACCAAGCCAAGUCUCGCCAUUAAUGUUCUGGGCUUUAACCUACUAGUUUCAAGCCAAGUCUCGCCAUUAACGCUCUGGGCUUUAGCCUACUAGUCGGCCAAAAUUAGAGUUGAAAUCAAGGAUAUUACAUAAAUUAAGAGAGUUGAUACAUAUUUUCAUGGAAAUUUCUCUUUUUUAAAAACUUGAUUUUUAUGGAAGUAAAUACUAAAAAUAAAAAAUAAAAAAUAAUGCUUUUUUUUUCUUUUUGGUAUUGGAGACAUAGUGCUUUUAAUACACAUGGGGGGAGCCACAAUAUACUAAAGUAAAACAUAAGAAAUGCCUAAUUAUGGCAAUUAGAUUCAAAAUAAAAAAAAUGAAAAUAAACAAAUAAAAUAAGGAAGGAGACCACCAUAACAAAUUGCAAUUAAAUGAUCGAGAAUAAUUUUGCCUUUUUAGUAAAAAUAAGAUGAAUUUAAUCACAUAAGGGUGAAAAUUAUGUUGCCCUUUAGGCUCCAUUCAUUUCACAAAAAAUAACUCCAGGAACAUGUUUUUCAGAUUUUCUGACAUUUGUUUCACAGAAAAUUAAUUAGUUAGAAAAAACAUUUUCCAUGAAGGGAAAAAAUCCUCUAAGAUUUGAGAAAAUGUUUUCCAUUUUUGAGAAAGAGGAAAGCAUUUUCCAUACCUUCUUUCACCUCACUUUAAUUCAUCAAGUACAUUUUCCUUUUAUUUUUAUGAAAAAUCAAUUUUUUUUUUCUUUUUGUUCUUCUUCUCUCUUUUUUCUUUUCCUUUCUUUCUUUUUUCUUUUCUUCUUCAUUGGUAGGUCGUCGGCCAUGGCAGCAGCUGAGGACUGACCAUGGGCGAGCUGGAGCCUUGCCACAGGCCGGCGGCUUGAGCUCGCCAAAUUCCAACAGGGUUAAGCCUAGCCAGCUUGUGGUGAAGCCAAGCUCGCUCGACACUAACGAGCUCAAGCCUUGCCAGAUCGCACAACUUAGGUGGAGCUUGAGCCUCGCCAAAGGUCACCAAACAUCAGCAAGGCUCUGAUGACCUGGGUGAGGCUUGAAAGAGCUAGGGCCUCAUCAAAUCCAACCACCUAGGCAAGGCUCGAGCCUCAGCCGAGGUUGUCAAAUGUUGGCAAGUAUCUAGCGACCUCCAACGAAGCUCGAGCCUUGUCCACAUGGUCGAAUCUGGCCAGCUUGAGCUUGUUGGCAUCAAGCAAGCUUGGCCUCACCGGCUUAUGGCAAGGCUCCAGCUCACUAGUGGCCAAUCGAUGCUUGCCACCGUGGUUGAUGACAUGCCAAUGAAGAAGAAAAAGAAAGGAGAGAAAGAAAAAGAAAAAUAAUUAAAAUAAUUAAAAAUCUAUUUUUAAAAGUAUAUAAUAAUAAUUAUCAUCAUCACCAUCACCAUCACCAUCACCAUCACCAUCAUCAUCAUCAUCAUCAUUAUUGAAAGAGGGUGCAUGGAGGAAAAGAUUUUCCUUACAAAACAGUCAAAAAUAAUUUCCAGUACAUUUUCAGGUUUCAGCCAAACAACGGAAAAUAUGGUUAUUUUUUCAGAAAGUGGUUUCUUGAAAAGUAUUUUCUUAAAAAGUCAUGUUUUCCGGGAAAUGAGUGGAGUCUUUAUGAAGGUGGGAUGGCCUCGUGGGCGGGUUUUGGGAUGAUUGAAGUUAUAGGUAGGUUUAAUAGAGUCAGAAAAAGCUUCAAAGAUCACGAAAUAGUCAAUUUGGGACAACGUGAAGAUGGAAUACAUGGAGAACAGUCGUCCAACAUUGCUUACCUAGAGAACUUUUCAAACUUGUAUCCCCUAUAAAAUCAAGGUUUGUAAUGAGAAAAGGUUGCUCCUAGAGUCCUUUUUUGAUAUUUUUAUUCAUUUUAUCUCAAAUACAUAAGAUAAACAAAAUAAAUAAAGAAAAAUCUUUUCUAAAACCAUCCCAAGGCAGUAGAUUCCCGGGGUGGGGCAGAGCAAGACUAAUGCCAUCCCCUCCCCACCUCGCCUCCUGACUUGCCUUGUGCCUUACUUAAUGCCCCGCGAGGCAAUUUUUGCGAGGAAAAUUUGCCCCAGUCUAGAGGGAUUCCUCACCUCCCGUGCCCCUCCCUAGAUAUUUCCCUUGCAAAGGGGAAUAUUUCAAAGAAGGAAUCUGUUGAUCGAUGUAAUUUUUGAGUAUGCGAGUAUUGUGGUGUAAUAAUGCGGUCUUGAAAGGAAACCUUGAUAAUUUAAUACUGCAGAAGAGACCAAGAGUAAAUGUGAGUGAUGUAGUUGUUGCGGUCCUCCCAUGUGACAAGCAAGCGGAGAUUCGGUUUUAGAUACGUUAGCAUAGAAGAACAUCUGGAUUAAGGGAGAGUACGAUUAACAAAGGAAGCUCACACAUGGAGAGGGAUAUUGUUGAGGUGCAUACGUGAGUUGCGGAGAGAAAUCUCUUAUUGGAGAUUUGACAUGGAUUGGAUCAAAUAUCUAGCGUCGACUAGACAUGUUAAUUACCUUGCAUUUGGAUUCUCCGUUUGAUGAUAUGGCUAGGGCAAAUGUAUCAAACCGUAAAUGCACAUCCCAACCAAUGGCGAAACAACUCAUGUGUUGGCCCCGACUCAUUUUCAUCUCUUUGUUUGGUUGGACACAUUGUAAUCAAGUUCCGAGCACAUCAAGUGCCAAAACUUGGCACAGAAAGAUAUUUAAGUACCAAAAUCAAAACAAAAUGGAUCAAUUAAGUACUAACGACGAAAAAUUCUAGCCAAAAUGCCAAUGUGGUAUUUUUCUAACAAGAUAAGUGCAAAACGACGCCAUUUUGCACUCUAACAUGGCUAGAUAAGCUAAAAACACCGUCAUUUUGCCUCAAAUUUUAAUAUUAAUAUAAAUAUUAAUUGAAUUGAACAUAAAACUAAAUAAUAAUAAUUAAAAAAUGAAGAAGAAGAAGAUUGCAAAAGCGAUUGGUGAGGGCUAUGCAAGCCCUCGUCGCUGCCUCCCCACCAUCGCCGGCCCUUCCUAGUGAUGUCGAGGGCUUCUUCUUUCUUUCUUUUUAAAAAAUAUUAUUAAUUAAUAUUUAUAUUUAUAUUUAUAUUUAUAUUAAAAUUUAAAGAAGAGGCAAAACGACAUCGUUUUGGCUCUUCUUUACUGACUCAGCUUUCUAACGAACCACGUGGGGCAACUUAUAUUAUUAAAAAUAAGUCAUGUUGGAUUUCCAGCACCUUUCAUCGAUAUUACCACUUAAAUAUCUCAUUUUUCAAAGAAAGUGACACUUAAAUAUACCUUUUGAGACUUUUGAUAUUUAAGUGUCCUUUGUGCCAAGUUUUGACACUAGUACUGUACUUCUGCCCAAUGUAACCAUUCAGGAGUAUUGUCACGUGGUAUUGGACUAAAAUACCAAUGUACCAAAUUAAGGUCGUAAUUCGUGUUAUUGCAAAUCAUCAAAAACUUAGGGCAAAACAUUCAAAAUUUGUUGGAGUCGUGUACAGGUUGUCAUUAGCAUCACAUUCAUUUUUCAUAAAUCACAAACCCACUAGUCUAUGAUUUGUGAAAAAAUACGGGAAAUUACUCAAAACACUGCCAUGCUUUAACGGUAGUGCACGUUUAUCCCCAAACUUUUAACUAUUUACACAAUCUCCUCCACAAUUUUCAUUUUCUUUUGGCCAUUCAAAUUGCAUUAUAUUUUCUGUUAGUGUGUGCGAUUCAAACGACUUUUAAGGGGUGAAACUGUUUUCUUUUUUCUUUUUUAUCUAUCUUUAAGGAAAUUUCUCUUUUACUAUUGGUUUCUAUUAAAGGAUGAAAAAAUAAAGAAAAUGGAGAAAAUAUAUUAACUAAAAUAUUAAUAUCAGAACAAAUAUAUUACUUAUAAUAUUAAAAUCAAAUUUGGUUAAUAUUUUAAGAAUAUAUUUGACAACUAAUAAGGUAUUUUUAUAAAUAAAAAGAAAUACAAUUAUGUAAAAAGGAAAAAUCCCUUAAUAAAAAAAGGUAAAAUUACAAAAAUUGGAUAUACAAUAUGUGUUUUUAAAAGGUGAAUUAAUGCAAAUUGAUUGAUUAACAAAAAAUAUUUAAAAGUAUCACCUUACAUUUCGAUUUACCAUUUCCUAUUAUAAAUGAGGACAUCGUUUUUUUUAUAUAAUUUUUAGAAUAUAGUCAUUUAUCAGUCACUUAUUACACUAAUUAACCCUAUAAUGAGCAACCAUUUUUUUUCAUUUUACCUUUUCGCUAUGGAGGCAUUUUUCGUUUUUAUUUAUUUUGUGUGAAUGAUUUUAUAAUAGAUAGUUAGUAAAGUGGCUAUAUUUAUUGAAUUUUAACGAAUUUUUAGUGUUUAAUAUUAUAAGAAUAAUUUACUUUUCUAUUAUUAGUAUUUUCUCGAUACAUUUUUCUCUCAUUUUCAAUAGUUUUUCAUUUUUUUAAGCAAUUUAGGGCAAAGAAAAUAUUUCCUUAAAAAAAUGAGAUGAAAAUAUAUUUACCGUUAAAAGUCAUAUUGGGAAAAGUACAUCAAUAGUUUUUUUAUGAUUUUCGUACAGCAUUCACUUGAGUUCCAUAAUUUUUUCUCACUUAAAUGCCACAUCAGAGUAAAAUCAAUCAUUUAAGUGCCACUUAUGAUCAAUCAUCCUAUGUGGAAAUUUUCCAUUCGACAUGGAUUUUUAAUGUUUUUAUUUUCAAAUUUUUUAUUUUUUUUAUUUUCAUUUUUUGUUUUUUUUUUUCCUUUAUUUCAGGGCCGAUGAGGUUCACCAGUAACCCUUAUCAAUUGCGAAGGCAUUGCCCAGACUAGGUGUGGCCGCGUCACCCUUAGCCGAUGUGGCUGCAAAAGCCUUGGCCUCACCUAAGGCUUUUGUAGCUGAGGGCUAGGCCUUCACAACUAGCUAAGGUCGCCAAUGACCCUUGCUGACCUUCGCCGACCUUGAAAAAGAGUGCAAAAAAGGAAAAUAAAAAUAGAAAAUAGAAAACAUAGAAAAUAUUACAAAAUUAUCAACGUCAAUACUGGUGAAGCCAUGUAAGAUAAUUAGCAUCCACAUCGAAUUUUCUAACGAGGCAAAUCACUGAUAGCACUAAAGUGAUCGACUUUUCAAAUUUGUGACACUAAAGUGAGCAAAAAGAAAGUAAUUAUAUUCAAGUGAGCAUUGUACAAAAGUUAUGGCACUUGCAUUAUUCUUAUGCCAAGUCAUGUAUAUGGUACAUCCUAAGAAAAAAAAAUAACAGACGUUUAAUGGCAUUUAUAAAAUGAAAUUUCAGGAGGUAUUAUGUGACAGCUGAAAGUUCGGAGGCAAAUGUGUGCUACCCCCAAAGUUUAGGGCAACUUUGUGUAACUUCCCCACAAAAUGAACAUGCUUAUAGUAGUUCUAUGACUCGAGUUGCUAAUGCAUUGAUAUGAUAUGCCUCAAGAGAAACAAAAUGCUCAGUUACUUUUAUAAUUGGUCAUGAGUUCGUCCCAACCAAAACAUCGUGUACAUAUACAUAGAGGUGAAUAAGGAGGAGAGAUUUGUAACAGGUACGAGACUCGUACGGUAAGGUCUAAGUACAAAUAGUAACAAUGGUCAUUCCGCUUAAAUCUUUCUAUUCCACGGGAGAAAAAAGGAGAAGAGAAUGAUGGGACUUUGUAGACCAUAUAUCACAAACAAUCACUUGUUAGAUCGCACCCGCUACUGAAGGGGGCCUUGGUCUUUCUUGUUGGGCCAAUUUAGACGGACUGAAGAACUACAAAAGAGAUGCAUACUCCACUCAACGUCCAUUCAAUUAUUUUUGUUCAUUUAUGGCUCAAGCGAGGGUAUUAGGGUUUCAUUCCGAGAAACUCUUUGAGCAUCCGGCUAAUUGUCGUUGGCCAUAGGAGUCCUGUUAUCAAUCCUUAGAACAUUGGACAAUCACUGUUGGGAUCAGCUCAACUCAAAAAAAUACAAGACAUUACGGGUAAGAACAUGUGGACAUAGUCUCGUUAUGAAUCCAAUAAGCAAACAAUGUGAGAAACUUUUAACACUCCUUUUAAAGCGUGCAAACUUGAAUAACAUAACUUGCGGAAUGCGCGUGGAGUUGAAGAACGAGGAACAGAUAAAUAAGCAAUCACACGCGCAUACUCCAAGAUGCGGGCUCAUGCGCAACUGUGGUGGCCGAAGACUAAGUUUUCUACGAUGAAGGAAAGCAUGAUUUAACCCUCAGCAGCCCUAAGUCAAAAAAGCUACUUUCAAUUUGGUAGAGACCGAUAUAGGCAUGCCAAGAAUAUGUUAUACUUAAUUUGAUUUGAUUUGCUAUACCACGAGUUAAACUCCUUUUGAGUAUUCAAUCAUACGGAAAUUCUUCGUGUUGGGGUCCCACUUUCUUUUUUUUUUAACUAAUCAUUGAAAGCAUGACAUGCCACUUAACAAAACCAAGAUUCCAUAUUUCUUAGUGACACUAGCAUCGUCCAGAAUUCGUUCGUUAUGUUUUCAAACCGCUCUUCCACAAUCAAUUGAGAAUCAAAUCAUUGGUCGAAGGCUCAAUCGAAUCUCGAUAUGCUAAUUUUGUGAAGCACGUGUACAUUGUCUUUGGGAGGAAGUUCAGUCCCAUCAAUAUCUUGUUUCUUAAUAAUUUCUUCAUCUAAGUUGUAACUUCUUUAUUUUUAGGGAUAAGUGCAUUUGAAAUUUUAAAACUUAUCAUGAAAGUAUUAAAUACUAAAAUUUUUAAGUCUUAAACUUGUCAUGAAGUGCAAUUAAGUACUAAAACUUGCGAAAACUGUAUUUGGUUCGUAAAACUUGUCAAAUUAGUGCAAAUAAGUCCUUCCAUUAAUUAUGUUUUUUGAAAAUUUUAGGACUUGAUUACAUUUUCGCAAUAAAUUUUAUAACUUGAUUGCACUUUUUGAAAAUUUUAGAAUUCGAUUGCAAUUUCGCAAUAAGUUUUUGGACUAGAUUGUACUUUUAAUAAUUUUAAGACUCAAUUACCCUUUUAUGACACUUUCAUUACAAGUCUUAGGACCUUAGUGCAUUUAUCCCUUUUCUUUAUAGGAGUGAUCAACUCCCGGUCUAGUUCCGGUGCUUCCCCAAAAUUGGGAACUAGUUGAGUUCAAGGAGGGGUGCCUCAACUCCAUGAGAGGUGAAAGAGAUCCAGAAAAAGGGGAAUACAGUAAGAAAAGAGUAGCUAUGAGUGUCGUGAGACAAAAAGGAAAGACUAAAAGAGGAGAGGAGGCAUGCGUGAGACAUUUUAAACACAAAAUAAAUAAAUAAAAAGCAAUCAAUCACCACCUAAACACCAGUUUCAUUUUUAGGAACCAAGAACCAAAUCGGCACUUCCAAGAGCCAAAUCCAACCAGCUGGCUUGGUUCGGUUCAAAUGAUUUCCGAUUUAGUCAAUCAAUCUCAGUCACCCCUAAAUCUAAAGAAUAUAUUUAUCUUUACUGUAAGUCCAUCUCAGUCGCCGCCUGAGCUACCGCCACCUCUCUCCUCCAUUCCUGCGCCCGACCAGCGACUGCCACCCCUUCGUCCAACCGUGAACAACAGCCAAGAAAAUGGGUAUGGCAGCUCGAUUUUGGCCCGUUUUGGCCGCCUUCCCGAGCCCAGAUGCUCGGCCCACUUUGAGGAAAGUCGAUCCUUGCGUCGUCCUCGUCGUUUUGGUCCGCUCGGCUCACUAAUCCGGUGAGUUUAGCUCACUAAAUCUUGAUUAGACGGUUAAUGAUGCCCUAAGUGUUCUUAGUCUAAGUUAAGUAAGUUUAAGUGGUUAGAUUAGUUUAUUUGGUUGAGGAUUAGAUUAGGGUGUUUAAUUAAGCUAAAGUGUGUUUAGUUUAAAGUUGAGUAGGUUUAUUUUAAUAUAAGCCUUGAUGUGACAUAAAUGAAUUAACUUUUGAUUUAUUUAAAUACCUUGAAAUUAUUAAAUAAUUAAAUAAUUUAUUAUUAUUCAAAUUAUUAAAAUGAUAUUAUUUAAUUAUUUUCGGAAUAAAUUUAAUUAUUUGUUAAAUUCCGAAAAUUUUGUCAAGACCCUAAAUUCUCAUAAUUUCGUGCCAGUCGCUACUGUAUAGUCAGAUUUUGAAAUUGAUGGUUAGAUAUUAUAAAUUGAGUGUGCAAUUACAAUUUGAAUUUGAUGAAUGGAUGUGGCAAAUGGAGUGUGAUUGCGAUAAAUAGAGAUUCUUUUUAUAAAUUUUCAAGUGUCAAAAUUGGAUGGAAGAUAUAUUACCUUUACCAAAAAAAAAAAAAAUUGGAUGGAAGAACGACCGUAUUUGACCACCUAUUAAAGGUUGUGCUCAGUGGGGCCGUGAUUGACCACCUAUUAGAGGUUGUGCCCAGUGGGGCCGUGAUUGACCACUUAUUAAAGGUUGUACCCAGUGGGGCCGUAAUUGACCACCUAUUAGAGGUUGUGCCCAGUGAGGCUGUGAUUGACCACUCAUUAGAGGUCGUGCCCAUCGGGCCGAGAUCUACCACCUAAUUAAAGGUCGUGCCGAGUGGGGUCGUGAUUGCCACUAGUUGUUAAACCUUCCCAUAGGGUCAUGAUUGGGAGCAACGAUUGAUUUGCUAGAAUGACAUGUAAUCGACCGAGUCGAUUGAUCGCUGAGACGAUCCAAGUGGUUGAAUUGUUCUGAUAAUGCGAUUGUGCCAUAGUUGUUUGGUUAUCAUAAUUGCACGUGGUUGAAUUAUAUAAACUGUGCUAACUUGCAGAUGAAGACUAAUGCAAGGUAAGUCUUUUGUGUGAUGUGGCUAGGCCACCCGGGGCGUAUUUUCUUUCUAAUAAGGGUUUAGGGGGCUGAACUUGCUGAGAGAACGUCUCAUCCCAGUUGUGGGAUUAAAAUUUCAGGUCCCUGGUGGACGGAGCGACCAGAUGGCUUUGGUUGGCUUUGAGGAGUUGCGGAGGUGAAGUCAUAAGGAUUGGAGAAUGUGUUCGACUUGUAAGUCGUAGGACAGUUCCUUUUUAAGAGCCAAUCUUUUGUAGACUUUUGGCCGUAGACCUCUGUUUGUAAUUCUGUUGAAUUAUGAAAGUGUUAUGUUAUGAAUUUGCUUCCUGCUUUUCUAUCUCGUAUAUCAUUGUUAGGGGUUUUAUAAUACGUUCUUCUUGCGCAAUAAUAAAUUAAUGGGGUUAGUGACACUACCUGGGAAUGUCGCAUUUACAUGACCAUGGUGGGAUGUUGGCGCGCUUGAGGUUCAGGGCAUGACAUCCGCGUUUAAGUGGUAUCAAAGCAUGGUUUGAGUAUGGAGUGAUAAGGUGCGAUGAGUCAUGGGAUAGUUAGUAGGAAAGGCUUUUAAUAUGUUGAUGCAUGUGGUUGAUAGCUGUUUGGUAGUGUGUUUAUGGGGUCACUCAAAUUCUAACCUGAUGUUGGAAUCGGAAAACAGGCGUCUAUAAAGAACCUGUAGGAUGAGUGACCAAGAGUGGAGAACUCCUUAGAGGAGGUCAGUAGGACCUUUAUCUCGGGGUAGGACGCUGACAAAAGUUAGUACCCGAGGUAGAGCGCAGGCUUAGACCAGCGCAAGUGUAAGAAUACUGCUGCAGGUCGGUACUAGUGUAGCAGCACCGAAUGAUCCUAGAUUUGCCAGGAUUCUUUAGGCGCUAGAGUCUUUGGGAAGCAUUUUGAGUCAGUAAGCUCAGGACCAAGCUGCCGCUAAUGCCGUUGUUUAUACCGCUGCCAGUGUUGUGACCGUUGUCGUUGCCACGCCUGUUGAGGCCCAAUCUAGAGUUGUGAUCGAGGAUCAAGCCGUCGUAUCUGAGUCAAAGUUCGGUUUAGACAGAGAUGGAAAUUGAUUGGGGAGAAAGGCCAAUGUCAGAAGAAAGGUGCCCUAUUUCACCCAACCAGAAGAGUAGAAUUAGAAAGUCAGUGCUCCACUCGAUCGAUGUGUGUCGUGUCUAUAAGAAAUGACAUGGAUUUGUCCCGUGCUGUAAGAGAGAAAUGACUUGUUACAAGUGUCGGCGGUAAGGCCAUUUGAUCAAAGAUUGUCUGUAUAGACAGAUGGAACCACAGCUGUUUCUGCACCGCCGUCAAGAGAAAAGAACAGAGGAAACAUGCUUCAGAAUGUUUAAUGAGGUACUUGGAUCGGACCCCAGUGCAAGGAAUGGUGCAUGAUGUCACUUGAUGGGAGGUAGAGGAUUCACCGAUUUUGUGCCGAGUUUGUGGAAAGGAGGCAUGAGUCAGCCCAGUGUCAGAGUAAAAAAAAAAGGAGCAUGAUAUGAAUGUGGCCAGCACGGCCAUCGGGUUAGGAACUGUCCGCGUAAGUUCAUGAGAGCGUAAGUACCAUUACUGCAGAUAGGACGCCACUAGGAUGGCUAGAAGAGCAUGAAUGGGUCGACCAAACAUCGACCAAGGGAAGAAUGUUUUGAGGUGUUUUAUCAGAGUAGUGCAACAAGAUUUUGAGUGAAGGUUGUGGAGUUUCCGUUAUUGUAAUAAAGUAAUAGAAAGAUGAGUCUCUGACUAUAGUUGUACUUGAUGGAUUUGCUUAUGUAUGACUUGGAAGUCAUUUAUGAAAAGGUUUGGCUCAAGGAGCUUUCUGCUGUUAUGAAUCGUGGCGGUGAUAUAAUUCAAUUUGUUUAGUUAGCGUAUGAAUGUUUUGAAUUACUGAAAGUCAGAAAGGACCUUCGAUCCCUGUUAUUCGUCACUGAAGACGACCUUGGUUCUAGUUGUUGGUUGCCAAAUCUAUAUGGCAACUAUAGUGGAUGCGACAGUUGAGGGACCAAGUAAGGAGAACUUAGCCAUGGUAUAGAAGCUUUCUAAGGUAAUCUCUAGAGAAUUGCCAGGUUUGUUGUUAGGAAGAGAAAUAGAGUUCGUAAUUGAAUUAGCACCCGGAACAAAGCCAGCCCCUGAGACUCCUUACCAGAUGGUGUUACCCGAACUAAAAGAACUGAAGGUGCAGAUGCAGGAAUUGUGGAAUAGGAGAUUCAUACAUUCCAGUGCAUCACCUUGGGGAACACCCGUUCUAUUAGUGAAGAAGAAAGUUCGUUCGUUGUGUUUGUACAUUGAUAUUCUUCAAGAUCGACUUGAGGUAAAGGUAUCAUCAGUUGAGAAUCAGGAAGAAAGACAUACCGAAGUUAGCAUCUCGCACUCGAUACAGCAGUUAUGAAUUCACUGUAAUGAUGUGCGGUUUGACAAACACCUUAGCUAUUUGUUUGGGUCCUAUGAGCAGAAUGUUUAAGGGUACUUGAAUCAGUUGUAAUCAUGUUCAUUGAAGUUAUCCCAGUGUGUUCAAAGAGUGCAGAGGAGCACGAGAGACAUUUGGAGAUGGUACUUCAGACCUUGAGUACUCUUGGAUUUUAUAAUAAGCUUAGCAAAUGCGAGUUUUGGAUGACUCGUGUUGCAUUCCUACGUCAUGUGAUUUCAGGAGAAGGAAUCUCCGUAGACCCCGUCCAAGAUUGAAGCAGUGAUCAGUUGGCCGAGCUUGACUGCAGUGACAGAGAUCAAAAGUUUUAUGGGUUUUGCAAAGUAUUACAAACAGUUUGUAUACGGGUUUUUCAAUGUUAGCAUCGCCGUUGACAAGACUACUGAGGAAAGAAGAGAAGUCCAAGUGGACAGGUAAGUGCGAGUGUAGUUUUCAUGACUACCGCACCUGUGCUUACUAUCCCAUCUAGUCCAGGAGGGUUUGAGAUCUAUAGUGAUGCGUCGUUUAAAGGAUUGGGUUGCUUGUUGAUGCAGCAUGAUAGGGUUAUUACAUACGCGUCCCGUCAGUUGAGAUCUUGUGAGUUGAAUUACCUUACGCACGUUGUAGAACUCGCAGUAAUUAUGUUCGUUCAGGGAAAUUAGAGGCACUAUCGAUAUAGAGAAAGAUUUCAUAUCUUCAUUGACCAUCAAAGUCUCAAGUGCGUAUUCUCUCAUAAGAAGUUGAAAAUGAGACAAUGUCGCUAGAUGGAACUCCUUAAGGAUUAUGACUAUGAUAUUUUGUAUCACUCUAGAAAGGUGAGCAAAGUCGCAGAUGCACUGAGUCGAGAGUCCUUAGUUGCACAGUUGGUACUCAAGGAUUGGAUCUUACUUGAGGAAGUCUGAAAUUCAGUUUUCAAAUCUAAGGUAUACCACCUUUUGAAUCUUAUGACCACCCUCAGAAUUGAGCCGAAAGUUCAGAUCAAAAUCAAAAUGCUUCAGUGGACAGAUUCAAAAAUUCAGAAGACUAUAAGAGAAUGCAAAUGAGAGAGGUUGAUUUUUAGAAUUCUAAAGAUAGAACGCUAAAGUUCUGAGGACGAUUGUGUAUGAUUGACGAUGCAGAGAUUAAAGAAGAGAUCUUAUGGGAAGCUCAUCAUAGCAACUUCAGCGUUGUCCAGACAGUACGAAGAUGAGUCAAAAUCUACGUCAUUAGGAUUGGUAGAUCGGUAUGAAGAUAGAUAUCGCCGUACAAGUUGUAAGUGUUGGAGAUAUUAGUAAGUGAGAAUUUGGUAAUGUAAGCCAGGAAAGCUUUUUUCAAACACGUGAGAGAGUCCUGUGUGGGAAUGGAAGUAUAGCAUGAUUGAAUGUUAUGAUAGUUAUUAAGGAGUCGGGAAGAGUAUUGAUUCCUUUUGGGGUUGUGGUCGACAGAUAAACAGAGUCAACUCACCUUAGUGUAGCACGAAAAUAUCUCGAUUGGAAUAGGUAUACCAAAGUGUGUGUGUAUAUCAUAUAAAUCAUCUACAUGGAGUGUCGGGGAUGAAUUGUAUUUCAAAUCUAGAUUAGAUGUUCCAAGUUUGUAGAGCUUUCAAAUGGCUCUUUCUUAAGCAGUGCAUAGCAGAGAGUGCGGAAUUUCGAUUGCUGAGAUGAAGUCAGGGAAAGAAAGAUCACAAGCCAGGGUCAGUACAAUAGUCAGUGAUUGUAGUUGCUGAGAUCAGUGUCAGAGUUAUAUCAGAGCUUGACCAGGGGUUUUCAAUUUCAGCAGAUCAGUCAGAUAGUCUCUUUUUAGUCAGUGCAGGGCAGAGUGUUCAGAACUUCAGUUGUUGAGUUGAGAUCAGAGAAUGAAAGGUCGUAGGUCCAGAGUUUGUUUAGAAAUCAUUGAUUUAGUUGCAAUUAUUAGAGACAGUUUAGAGACUGCUCAGAAUUGUCAGUUUAGCUUCGCAGAUUUUGUGUUGAAGACCUUUGGAAUUUUAAGUGGGCAAGUGUUUAGUAUUGUGCAUCCGAAGUGGUUUGGGCAAGAUAGCAGUGAUCUGGCAGCAUUGGUACAGAAAGAGCAACUUGAGAAAGAGAAGAUUAUAUGAGACGACUGUACCCCCACCUUUUUGUUUAAGAAUCGGUAAAGGUUUAAAUUUCGAGGAAAAAAAUUUUAUAACAGGAGAAGAGUUGUGACAUCCUGAUUUUCCAAUUCUAUUUUCAAUAAAUUGAGACGGGCAUUUCGUUGGCACGCGUAUAGUUAUUUUCCUUGAGUCGGUCACUCAUGUGAAAACUAGUCUAUCAGGUGAAGCCGUUAAGAAAUUAUAAUGCAUCGGACUCGAGAAUUUGACCAAGAAAUGACAUUUCGACCGAGCUAAUCUACAAUGGUCAUUACGGCACAAAUAAAAAUCGAUUAGAGAUCGGAGAUAAGUCGACUUGACAGAGGCAUGUGAUCGAGUGUGGGUGAUUCCACCGGAUCGCACAAUUCUUGUCGAUCGGCACUGGACCGACUUUUCUAUCGAUUGGUGCCCUGUGUUCAUAUUUGAUAUAUUGAGAUUACCCCGACAACCGAAAGUCACCAAUGUUUCAAAGAUGUACAUUGUGGCUUGAGAUGAUCAACCACAGGUCAAAUGCAUGAAAAUUUCUAAAGGCUACCCGGUAAGUUGGGCCGCGCUAGUAUCGUGCCAAGGUGAAAUUAACCGUGGAAUUGAGACCGAAUUCAAAAAUUAGAAGUCUAGGUGUGUCACAAAUCAUUUUAGGAAUGUUGACUCAUCUUUGGAAGAUUUUUCAUGCAAGCCGAGUUUUUUGGCAAAAUAAUCAAAGUAUAGUUAAUUUGGUUCGAAAAAUUGGUAAGCCCGCUUUUGGUGGUAUUUUUUAGAUCAAAAUGGUUCUAUGGUCAAGUAACUAUGUGAAUUGAAGGGUGAUGACAUUGGAUUAUUUUUACGGACUUUAACUUGGUUCAAUUAGAAGAGAAUUGAAUAAUGUGAUAUACAAAAUUUAAAAAUUGGUAUGCCUCGGCGGAAAAGGAAAUUAGACCCAUUGGAGAAUUGUUGUGGGAGAUUUAAAGUUAGUGGAAUGUGAGGUCAGCUUAUGUCAUGGUUGGGGCCAAAGCAAAUGGGGUGUUGACAAGUGUCGAAUGCUCAUUGGUCCCCAAAAAGCACCUCUCACUUCAAUCUUCAUCUUCAACCUUGGGACUUCUUGGACUUGGGGAGAGAAAAGCUGAGGGAGACCAGCUCGUCCGACCACCUUUCGUGCGACACCCAACCGCCCGCUUGGCUGCCUGCUUGCUCGUCGUCGGAGUCGCUCACCGUCGCCGUUGCUCAGCCCGCUCACUCUCCGCCUUCCUCUCUUUCCCCUUGCUGGCGUCGACCUACGCUUCUUUUUCUUUGUGUUGUUCAAGACCCACCAGCAAACCAGGGAAGCAAAGCAGUAGCCAGCAGUGCCGCUCGUCGCCGUCGCACACCGCCGCUGUGCGUCUGCCCCGUGCCGCUCGCUGACCAGCUCGCCUCUCCGCUCCGCCUCAGCCCGCGUCUCCAACCUUCGCCCGGCGUCUCCAGUAGCUUCCUGCCAUCGCCGUCGCCGCCGUGAGCCACCAUCGAUUGCCGCCUGAACUACUGCUGCCUCUUUCCGCCAUUCCCGUGCCCAACCAGCGACCGACACCCCUUUGUCCGACCGUGAACAGCAGCCAAAAAAAUGGGUAUGGCAGCUCAGUUUUGGCCCGUUUUGGCCGACUUCCCAAGCCCGGAUGCUCAGCCCGCCUUGAGGAAAGUCAAUCCUCGCGUCGUCCUCGUCGUUUUGGUCCGCUCGGCUCACUACUCCGGUGAGUUUAGCUCACUAAGUCUUGAUUAGACGGUUAAUGAUGCCCUAAGUGUGCUUAGUCUAAGUUAAAUAAGUUUAGGUGGUUAGAUUAGUUUAUUUGGUUGAGGAUUAGAUUAGGGUGUUUAAUUAAGCUAAAGUGUGUUUAGUUUAAAGUUGAGUAGGUUUAUUUUAAUAUAAGCCUUGAUGUGACAUAAAUGAAUUUACUUUUGAUUUAUUUAAAUACCUCGAAAUUAUUAAAUAAUUUAAUAAUAUAUUAUUAUUCGAAAUUAUUAAAAUGCUAUUAUUUAAUUAUUUUCGGAAUAAAUUUAAUUAUUUAUUAAAUUCCGAAAAAAUUUUAAGACCCUAAAUUCUCAGAAUUUCGUGUCGGUCGCUACAGUGUAGUCAGAUUUUGAAAUUGAUGGUUGGAUAUUAUAAAUUGAGUGUGGAUCGUGAAAAAUAUGGAUAUUAUUUUUUAAUUAAUUUUCGGAAUAAAUUUAAUUAUUUAAUAAAUUUCGAAAAUUAUUUUAGGACCUUAUUUUCUUAGAAUUUCGUGUUGAUCGCUGCUGUGCAUUUAGAAUUUGAAUUUGAUGAAUGGAUGUGACAAAUGGAGUGUGAUUGCGAUAAAUAGGGAUUCUUUUUAUAAAAUCUCAAGUGUCAAAAUUGGAUGGAAGAACGACCGUAUUUGACCACCUAUUAAAGGUUGUGCCCAGUGGGGCCGUAAUUGACCACCUAUUAGAGGUUGUGCCCAGUGGGGCCAUGAUUGACCACCUAUUAGAGGUUGUGCCCAGUGGGGCCGUGAUUGACCACCUAUUAAAGGUUGUGCCCAGUAGGGCCAGUGGGGCCGUGAUUGACCACCUAUUAAAGGUUGUGCCCAAUGGAGCCGUGAUUGACCACCUAUUAGAGGUUGUGCCCCUCGGGCCGAGAUCUACCACCUAAUUAAAAGUCGUGCCGAGUGGGGCCGUGAUUGCUACUGGUUGUUAAAACUUCCUAUAAGGUCGUGAUUGGGAGUAGCGAUUGAUUUGCUAGAAUGACAUGUAAUCAGCCGAGUCGAUUGAUCGCUGAGACGAUCCAAGUGAUUGAAUUGUUCUGAUAAUGUGAUUGUGCCAUAGUUGUUUGGUUAUCAUAAUUGCACAUCGUUGAAUUAUAUAAACUGUGCUAACCUGCAGAUAAAGACUAAUGCGAGGUAAGUCUUUUGUGUGAUGUGGCUAGGCCACCCGAGGCGUAUUUUCUUUCUAAUAAGGGUUUAGGGGGUUGAACUUGCUGAGACAACGUCUCAUCUCGGUUGUGGGAUUAAAAUUUCAGGUCCCUGGUGGACGGAGCGAC
rnacentral:lncRNA from 1 species